rnacentral:lncRNA from 1 species
UGCUUUCCUCACCCAUAUCCCCUUCUUCAUCCGAUCUUGCUCCACCUAUUAUCUCCUCCAUUUUCUCACAUCCUUUAACAACAAUCUCUUCUAGGUUUACAAGGCUUGGCAGCAAGACAUGAGGGAACAACUUCUUCAUACCCUUACACCCAAAAAAAUAAAACCUUUUAAGACCAGAAAAUAUACCAUUAUAAGAUGGAGAUGGCUGUGGUAGUGGAGCAGAGCAUAACCAAGAAGAUGAAACCAAGCUCUCCAUGCUAUUGCAAUUCAAAAUCUUGAUAUACUCCAGUUCUGUUGCAUACUUUAAUGGCGAAACAUCGCCUAAACUUCUUGCAUCGAUACAUUACAAAUUAGUUGCUGAAUGUCAUUUGAGGUGAUGACCGGAAAAUCUCCAUCUCUAUUGAUAUUCAAAUUACCCAAAACAACCAUUUUACUUUCGGGACCAUUGAACUUUAAUUUCCUAAGUUCGUCUUCCCUGAACUGCCCUAUAGCAAUUUUGCAUGUGCUUAGUGAUUGGCUCCGAUCCCGAGAUUUGAGAUACUCCACGUAGUUAGAGUGAUCUUCAAAAUGGCAUUCCAAACUUUCCAACUUCCUCAAGCAUCCUACUUCCUUUCCAUCAACUGUUACUGGAGCAUAUCUUUCUUCUAGUAUAAAGACUUGCAGGCGAGAGAGUUUAGGUAAUAUGCCACCGGGAAACUUCUUUUCACCACAUCCAUUCAUUCUUAGAUACCUCAAGUUGGAUAGACAUUCCAUGCCAUGUGGAAUCUUUUCAAGUGGAGCAUGAGAGAGAUCUAACCUCUUCAGUGCCUUGAGCUUUUUCAAUGAGGGUACACGGCUUAACCUUGACAACCUUUGAGCAACAAUGAAGUGAGACCCUCCAAAUCAGAGACAGAAUCAGGCAAACAUUCAAUAGAUGUUCUAGACAGAUCGAGGACCUUGAGCCCACGCAUUUGCUUGAAAAAUGAACCCGCAAUGAGUCGCAACCUAUCAUUAUCACAUAGCAAUAAGGUUGACAGAUUUGGACACGUCACUGAAUGGCUGGAACAAAUCUCUUGAAUUUGGUUGUGCAUUAGUGAAACGGUCGUAAGUUUCUCUGUCCACUCCUCUGUAUCCGGCAAUUCUUUUAAUUGUGCACCGGCUUUAACAAUGGCUUGAGAGUCCUCUUCCAGUAUUUGGAUGGCCAUAUCCCUAAUCAAGUCAUGCAUCUUGACACAAUAACCACUAGAGGCACUUUCCAAUAGGCAGACAUUUUCAAGUCUAUUAAGCAUUGUGUGGCCUUUGUUAAUUUCUGCCUCCCUACUCUUUUGCCCUUUUACCACUCCCCGAUCAAUCAAAUAUUCUAUCAGAUUCUCUCUAAAGAUCACAAAGUCUUCAGGAAAUAAUCCACAGCACAAGAAACAUUGUUGCAGAGCUGAACUUAGGUGGGUGUAACUAAAUUUCAAUAUCUGAAAUACCUCCCUUUCCACUUUAUCUUGCGUAACUCUUGAUUGUCUGAGGUCCUCUAAAGCACUGCUCCAUUCGUGGAUGUCAUCUACCCCCUUCAUGGUUCCAGCAAUUGUUUUAAUUCCUAGUGGCAAACCAUCACACUCCCUUGUGAUAGAUUUUGCAAUUUGUUCCACUUCUGAAGGAAGUCGUGUGUCAUGUCCAAGUAUCUCCAUGAACAAAGUCCAAGCCUCUCCAUCAGAAAGAGGAUUCACUCUGACAUUGUUUUGGCAAUUCAUCUGUCGACAAACCUCUAUUGAUCGAGUUGUCAUAAUCAGCUUGCAUCCUUUCAAUGUGACGGGAAUCCCCACUUUGUGUGGUUCAAAGGAGUCCCACAAAUCAUCUAAAAUGAGAAUCCAUCUUUGUUUCUCCAUUAGUUCUUGUGACAAUUUCGUAGCUAUGUGCAGCUCCUCCUCUUUAUUGGAAAGAGAUAAAUUUAUAUUGUUUGCGAUCUUCUUCUGCAAUGUAUCAAUGCUGCAAUCUCGAGACACGGUCACCCAGUAAACAUUAUGAGAAAUAUCUGGACUUCGUAGAAGCUCGUUAUAGAUAUGCUUCAGGAUUGUAGUUUUACCAGCUCCCCCCAUCCCGUAAAUGCUAAUGAUUGAGACUUCAUCAUCCAUCAACCAAGACCAUAUCACAUUCUUAUUCUCUUCAAAUGCUCGACCCACUAGCUUUGUAGAGCCAGUAGGUAAAGGAGCUCCUCUAGUCUCACUUGGGUUGUGUUUAAGCCCUGCGGAAGAGCUAGCUCCUGCACCUGGCUGCGCUACUCCUCCAGUCCCAGUCUCUGUAUCAUCAAGAUUUAACAAAUUAAGCAUCUCCUCCCAUGUUUUUUCCAAACAUAUCUGGUUCUUGUAUACUUGUUGCAUCUCCUGUCAAAUUGUCGACUUCAUUGUUUUGCUCUUGUGGACUGGAUGAAAUGGCAUUAUGAUUCACAUUGCCUCCAGAAGAGCUUGCGCCUACGCUAGGCUGCACUAAUCUUUCUGUUGCUUCUCUUCUGUUAUCAUUUUCACCAAUUGUGUGUCUCCAAGGAGAGACACUUCUGUUAACAUGCUGAAUCGAUCCUUCACCAGUGUUUUCUCGUUGUUGUGCCAUCACCAUUUCAUUGUUCUGUUGUUGUGCUGAAGCUGAAAUUGCAUUAGUGACCUCGUUAUUGCUUGAGCCUGCUACAGUUUUACGCUUCUUUUCUGGAGGGCCUGCUACAAUUGCUGCAAGGGCUGCGUCUUGGACAUGUUGAGGCACUUGUCCACAACUUCUAACACCACGGCCUGUAACUCCUGCUAAAUGGAAUCUGAUCCUCGUAAUGGGAGUGCCUUUGGCAAAAAAAUGCCCACAAAACUUACACCUCAUGCUACGAUCAUCCAUUUUUUCAACAUAUUCCCAAAAAGAUGUGUCAACACGAUGCAAAACUGGACCAUCCCGUCGAAGCAUUUUGAUCAGUGGCUCUGUAGAAAAGAAAAGAAAAGGAUCUGUCAACAUGAUGCCAAAAUGGAUCGAUCAGGGUCAAAAUAUUGAAUAUAAAUUAAUGGAGGUUACAUUAAUUGUAAAAGGGAAGGUUGAAACUGAAAUAACAAGUUAAAAACAGUAGAGAAAUUACAAAGAAAAAACAAUGAAUUUAAGGAUUAUAGAAACUGAGAAAGACAAAUUUAAUUUGUUUUGGGAACUAUAGAAUAUGAUCCUAACUCCAAAGUUUCUCAAUAAAAUUUCUUCAACUUGUUUUGGCACUUAAAAGAUCGAAAAAAUAUUAACAUGUGAAGAACAAAGAAUAAUAUACCUGGAUUCAGCAAUUGAUCGAUGUUCUUCAAGUGCUGGCUUGCUGAGGCAGUAUUCAGAAGAAGAAGAAGAAGAAGAAGAAGCACAGAUCAGAGAAGAGUAUAGGUUAAGCUAGUUCAAUGAUGAGGAAAGGAGAAUAGUUGUAUUGUUUGACAAGAAAGAAGUUGCUAGGAAGGUAGGAAGGAAGACAGCAACAACUUUACUGAUAGUUCAUAGUUCCUUUUAAUUUAAUUUAAUUAAUUAAUUAAUUAAUUAAUUUCGAUUAGUGCUGCAUAUAAUAAAAAACUUCAACAAAAGAAGCCAAUUAUUGGACUUGGGUUAGGUGAGUUAACGUGUGGACCCACCCCAGUGUUCAAGCUUUGAAAAAGCUCAUUAGUACACUGUAACUUGUUUUUAGUCUGUCACUAACAGCUCACCUGUGCAAAUCCCUUGUGAUCCCUCCAGCACCUAUGAGCAAUUUUCUUAUGAAAUUUGGGUUGGUUUAUGAGCAAAGUUCAUCAGAGAGAGCUUAAUUCCUGGAGAAUAUGAAUGUCGAUUGAGGGUUAAAGCAAUAAUAAUAAAAAAAAAGAGUAUAUAUUCUCCAUGCAUGCAUGCAUGUUGUUCUGAGACUAGACAAUGGAAUGAAUCUCUGUCAGGUCUAGAAGACAGGGUUAAUUUCUAGUAAUGUUGUUUGCCCAUGAUUGGAAGUUGCUUACGAUCCCUUUAAUAAUGAGAUAUUGUUGUCAAUGGCUCAAGCAAUAUUUUCCCACACAUAAUUGCAGAUCCAAACACUCUUUAAUAAGUUUUAAAAAAUUAAAAGUUAAAUCAAAGGAAUUGGGCACCCAAACUCAAUUAAUUAAUAACAAAUGUUAUUUUCAAUUUUGCAACUAUAUAUAUAUGCACAUAAAGUAUGUAAAAUUCCAAAACCUUGCUGGCUACAUUAUCUAUCUCCUCUCACCUUCCUAUUGUUGUUGAGUAUAAUUAUAAAAUUUAAAUUAGUCUGUGAGUUAAUUUGAGAUCUAAGUAAAACCAGAUUUAAAUUAAUCUUGCCUAAAAAAAACAAAUUAAUCCAGUUUAAUCCAAUUAAAAAUAAAAAUUAUAAUAUUAAGUUAUUAACAAAUUAUUUAUACUUCCAUUUUAUAAAUAAUAUUUUAAUUUUUAUAAAAAAUUAUUAUCGUCAAGUAUGAAUUAAACAAUCAUAUCUCCAUUUAAAUCGUCAAUAAUUUAGUUCUUUCAUCAAUUCUAUAUGUUUUCUUUAUUUUUUUCUUGAGAAAUUAGAAAAAGAAAAAAAAAUAGAAGAAUUGAAAAUUUGAUAAGAUUUUGAGAAAGAAUAAUGAUAUUAAAUUGAAGAUGGUCACCAUUGGUCAUUGGCCAAUCAUUGCUUUAAAAUUUCUUAAAUGAUAAGGACUAAUUAGUUAUUUAUUAUACUAUAAGAUUAAUUAAUAAUGUGUACAAACUAUAAGGACUAUAAUAUAAUUGCUUUAAGCCUCAAACUUUGGGUGCUUUAUUUAUGGUGUCUCAAAUUCGUUACUGCGAUCAAUACUUUACGCUUUAGGGAGUUUCCUCCACUAACCCGACUGAAUCACAACUCAACACUCUGAGUCGCAACCGAUUCCGAUCUCCUCUCAGGCACCGCUCUCCCAGCCCAAUUACCACCAUGCCUUGAGCUUUCUGGUUCUAAUUGGAGUUUUUUGGACUGAUCAGGGUUUAAUACGAUCCUGGACAGCGAUGGUGUUGACGUUUAAUGUAGGAGGGAAAGUAGUGGAGAGAGUGGAUUUGAUAAGGAAGAAGAAAUGGCCAUGGAGAUUAGAUAUUUUGCCAUUUGCAAUUCUGUAUGCGAUUUGGAUGGUCACUAUUGUGCCGAGCAUUGACAUUGUUGAUGCUUUAAUUGGUCUUGGUGGACUCGUUUCGAUUCAUGUUCUGGCGUUGCUUUUCACUGCCUGGUCUGUUGAUUUCAAGUGCUUUGUUCAGUAUAGUAAGGUAAUAUGGCUGUUUGCGUGUGUUUGGUUCUGGAUUUUGGGGCUUUGGUUAGGGUUUUGUUUUGUGAUUUGGGGAUUUUGUGUUUAGGUUAAUGAUAUUUAUGCUGCGGAUUCAUGUAAAGUUACGCCGGCGAAGUUUUCUGGUUCUAAAGAAGUUGUGCCAUUGCAUAUUCGUCAACAAGGGUUUUUUUUUUUUUUUAGUAUUGUAAGGUAAUAUGGCUGUUUGCGUGUGUUUGGUUCUGGAUUUUGGGGCUUUGGUUAGGGUUUUGUUUUGUGAUUUGGGGAUUUUGUGUUUAGGUUAAUGAUAUUUAUGCUGCGGAUUCAUGUAAAGUUACGCCGGCGAAGUUUUCUGGUUCUAAAGAAGUUGUGCCAUUGCAUAUUCGUCAACAAGGGUUUUUUUUUUUCUUUAUUCAAGUGGAAAUGAUUUUUUUUUUCUCUAUGUGGUAGAUUGGACUGAUAAUUGGAUGUUCUUAGUUGAUGUAGGAUAAUAAUGGAUUCAUUUUGCAGAUUGUUUUUUCGGGGGAGUGAAAAAUGAUGUCAACUAUAGAAUGAUAGAAGAAUUGUAUGCUCAUGGUGGUGAUGGUAUUUGAGCUGCUAGGGAAAUGUAGUUUGUUGUAAGUGGAUUUGAUGAAAGUUUGAUGAUUUUUGAGGUGGUGAGGAUGAAGGUUGGAUGAAAGCUAAAAGUGGAUUCACUUCACGAAUUGUUUUUUCAGGGGAGUUAAGGAUAGAAUUGAAUGCAAUGCAUUUUGAAUGGGAAUAUUUUUCAUUUAAUUUCAUAUAUUUUGAAUGGGAACAAAUGCUCAAAUGGGCAAAAAACAUUUUCUGAAAUUUCAUGGUGAGGAAGAGGGUCAUCUGGCUGGAGUUUUUAUUGAUAGGAUCUUGUGAUUUUUCUGAACUUUGGUAGUGGAGGGUUUGUCUACGUUGAUUGGUCGACAUAGUGUCUCAAGUUGAAUUAAAUCAGGACAAUGUUCUAAUCAAAACGUUUAAAUUAAUAAACUUCUGUUAACCUUUGUAUAUCAUGUUUAAAAAUGCCAUUAUCAUCAUUUUGCAAAUAUGCUUGUUUCUAAUUUAAUUUCAUAUGACUUUUUCGAAAGUAUUGCAUGAUUUGAAAAAUGAGCUUUGCACUGAAUGGCUAGUGUGUGCGCUCGCAUGACAUCAUGUGAGGAGUGUCGCCGCAUGUGGAGGUGUGGAGGCGUGUAUGGCCUCGUUUGACCUCCAAAGAAGAUCUUCCAUGGUCUUUCUUGAAUCAUCUCGGUGGAUUCUUCCAUUUGAGGCUGCGAGUGUAGAGGUUGGGGUUGCGAUAUGGCGCCUACAACCUUUUUUCUCCCCUCAUCACUACUGUUGUUUGAUUAAAUCAAUAUUUUCUCAAUUUAAAUUUUUGGAUUAAUCAAAUUAUUAAAAAUAUGUUUGUGAUAAUUAAGUUUGAUGAAGUUAAUAUUUUUUCUUUGUUUAAAUUAAAAUCUAACUUGGAUUAUGUUUUAUUUCUCAUAUUUUUCAAGUUAAAAGGUUUAAUGAUUACAACUAUGUAAUUAUAUAUAUAAUAUAGAAAGAGAAGUUCGGGUAGACAAACUCAGUUUUUAUUUAUGAGAAAUCAAUUUAGAAAAUGUUUAAAAGUUUGAUGGCAAUUGUGAUUAAAAGUGCUUUUUAUUUAGAAAGGCAUCAAAAAAAUAUAUUAUUUAUUUAUUUUUAAAAUAUAAUUUUUAAUAUUAAUACAUGAAAAUAAUCUAAAAUAUAAAAAAUAAUAAUUUUAAACAAAAAAAUUUAAAUUUUUAAAGCACACGAUUUCAACUAUUUUUCCAAACACAACGUUUCAGGAGACAAGUUUCACAAUUGCCAUUUGGAUACAUGCGAUUCAUUGAUAAACAACUUUCGCAUAGGUGGCUGAUUCAAAGUAAUUAAUAAGUAAAUUAUAUAAAUAUAUAUAGCUGAUGAAGAUUGCGAAAUUAAUUAAUAGAUUAACCUAAAAAUAAUCAGUGGUAAGAACUUGAAAUGAAAAAAUUUACUCCUUAUAUGGUCUUAGGUUUGAAUACUAUGGUUGCUAAUAUUAAUAGCUACUAGAGACUUAUCUAGUUGUUAACUUCAGGACUCGUAGAAAUUAAUUGAGAUACACAUAAGCUGGUCCAAAUCAUAUAAAUUAAAAAAAAAAAAAACAAUGAUGAUUAUUCUUAUAAUGGUGCAAGGAAUUAUGCCAGUGUAUCUUUUGAUUUUAGAAGUGUUUUAAUGGUUUUUUUUCUAUAAUUUUUAUGUAUUAAAAAUUAAAAAUUAAAAAAUAUUUUUUAAAAAAUACCCCGUAACACAGUACCAGGUAUUAUUUCCGACAAGAUCAUCUAAACUCAUAAAUCAGCAUCAGUUUCUAAUGAAUGAAGGUUUUGGACAUGUUUGAUUACAUUUGAUAAUGUUUUUUUUUAAUUUUUUUUUGAUGAUUUUUAGAAUGAUUAUAGAUGUUUUGACAUAAAAAUGUAAAAAUCAAAUCACAAUGAUAAGUUUUUUUUCCAAACACGGGGAAGCAUGAUUCUCAAACCAGCUUGCUUCUAUAUAAUUAAUUAAUAUAAGCUUUUAUAUAGUUAAUCAUAAUUGUCAAACUUUAUUUUGGAUCUAACUCAUUUUAGGAUCAAAAUUACUGGAUUAUUAAGCCAAUCCAAGUCAAACCCAAAACAAAUCACUUUGAAUAAAAAUAAGAUAAAACUGAAUCACUAUUUUGGAUAAUAAUAAUAAUAAUAAUAAUAAUAAUAUUUUUUUAUUAUUAAAGUUAACUUAACCCAACCAACCCAACCAACCGAGGCAAAGGAUGUUUCGUGCAUUUGGCACGAAUUGCAGCUUCAUGCUUGGUCCUUUCUCACCCUACUAUGAAAAAGUUGAUGAAAAAGAUGAAUAUAGUGUCAAUGAACAUAAUAAUAGUUAUUUUUUAAAAUAAUUUUUGUAUGAAAAUAAUAUUUUUUAUUUUUUAAAAAUUAUUUUUAAUAUUUAACUAAUAAAACAAUUCAAAACAUGGGAAAAUAAUAAUAAUUUCAAAUAAAAAAUAAAAUUUAAAAAAUCACAAAACACAUUUUCAACAUCGAAAACAAACACCCCAGAAGUUAUCAACUACACCACUAAUUGCUCUAACCAACUUCAUCAAUUACACAAAAAAAUAGUGCAUUUUUAGACAGGGUAUCCAAUUCCACUUUCAAUCUUUUCUUCAUCAUGAAUGGAGGGGCCAUACCUUAAAAUGGGGCAUGGCUUGCUCGAGAAUUUGCUUCAAGGCUAAAGCACUCAUGAAAUCCAGAUCAUACAUGGAACCUCACUCUUCAUAGAAGAAUCGAGUAUAGUUUCUAAAAAUCACAUAUUGAAAAACAUAAAUCGAACCACUUGCUUAGACAAGCUUCUAUACUGCUUAAAACCAACUGUACGUCCAUAUUUAGGCGUUGAAAUCCGAAACCAGUAUAGCAGAAAGGAGAUCAAUUUGCCAUGACAAUCACUGCAUCGAACAAUUAGGGACAUAUCAGAGAAAUUAAAAAAAAAAGGUAACAUUUAUGUUCACCCACUUGAAGAAAACAGCAAGUCAGAAGAACAGCACCAACUGCAAUAAUUAACCUUAAAUUUUUUCCAGAAGGCGUAGAGAGGAAUCCACUUUACAAAUUGUUCAUAAAUAUUAUAUAAAUUAAAAGCUCGUCAAAUGAUCUAUCACCAGUGAUGUUUAGCGGUAACUGAUUCCACCUCUUGUAAGACAGCAGAGGUUUUGUUAUUACACAGUAAUUAAAGGCUAGUUAGAGCAGACAUUUGUGAAGCUUCAAGUCAGACAUAGCCUAUGCAUAGUCAUGAAUGAGAACGCCAUAGAAAAUCAAAUUCCAGACAGAUUAAAAUCGAAACAAAGUAACAACCACAGAAGGUAGCUGAGCAGCUGUGACUUUCAAGAGGACUACAAAUUCCCAUAAAUGUUUAUGCUACUCAGCUCUUUACCUGUUGGACAGUGGUUUUAGCUGCUCUCUAACUUAUGUCAGCAUAGAAUUGUCGCUAAGAACUUCACGAGUCCUUUAAGAAGCACCAUCCAAUUGGAACCGCAAUCUUCAUAGAAAAAUCAUAUAUUGAAAAACAUAAAUCGAACAACUUGCUUAGACAAGCUUCUAUACUGCUUAAAACCAACUGUACACAUAUUUAGGCAUUGAAAUCUGAAACCAGUAUAGCAGAAAGGAGAUCAAUUUGCCAUGACAAUCACUGUACCAAACAUUUAUGUUGACCUAGCAGUUUUUCCAGAAGGUGUAGAGAGGAAUCCACUUUACAAAUUGUUCAUAAAUAUUAUAUAAAUUAAAAGCUUGUCAAAUGAUCUAUCCCCAGUGAUGUUUAGGGCUAACUGAUUCCACCUCUUGUAAGACAGCAGAGGUUUUGUUAUUACACAUUAAUUGAAGGCUAGUUAGAGCAGACAUUUGUGAAGCUUCAGGCCAGACAUAGCCUAUGCAUAGUCAUGAAUGAGAAUGCCAUAGAAAAUCAAAUUCCAGAUAGAUUAAAAUCGAAACAAAGUAACAACCACAGAAGGUAGCUGAGCAGCUGUGACUUUCAAGAGGACUACAAAUUCCCAUAAAUUUUUAUACUACUCAGCUGUUUGCCUGUUGUUUACCUGUCGGACAGUGGUUUUAGCUGUUCUCUAUUUUAUGUCAGCAUAAAAUUGUCGCCAAGAACUUCAUUAGUCCUUAAAAGAUUUAGAAAACACAAACACGAAUCCACCCUAAACUAAAAAUAUCAAUGUCUGUUUCAACCCCCAUGAAAAGGAGUUGUAUUGCUUCAUGAAAUAAUUUAACAUCCAAAAUGGAAGGAUCCAUCCUUACUUGCAAACAUGUGUUCCAACAGUUAUCAUCUCAGCAAGAUUCAAUGACAUCCUAGUUCGAUCUGCAGCAAGAGUUAAAAAACUGCCCAAAUUAAAACCAAAGUGUUAUCUUCCAGAGACAAUCUGAGAAAAAAAAAAAUAGAAGCCUUCUUAAAGGAAAUACUGUUGUAUUAUUUUAGCCUAAUACUGAGAAAUAAAACCUACCGAUAUCCAAAUUUUAGAGACAUUUCAUCCUGAAAACAAUAAAAAGAUCCCUUUCUUUCUGCAUCAUAGAUAACACGUCAUUACCCAUUUCCCACCGUUGUCCUAAGAUACAUUCCAAAAUAUUUAAGAAUUUCAUUUAAAAUUAACACUACCCCAUAAUAUAUUUAAAUAUAUCGUUAAAUGCCCUCAGAAAGAAAAUAACAAGAGGGUAACUGAUUUUGGAACCUAAAAAACUCAAUUUUUAAACCAUUAAGUUGAGGAUAAAGAAUUAACCAACCCAUCAAUUUCUCUGUUGUUCAAUUUCCCAAUCCAAUCUGAGAUAACAUCCUGCAAUGUUCUUCCCAUCUGUCCAAUACACCUUACUGUGAUCUAUAAAACAAAAAAUGUGAGUCAAUCUUAUCAGACUUUGAACGUCACUACUGAUUAAGUGAUAUAUAAAACAAAAAAUGUGAGUCAAUCUUAUCAAAGUUUGUACAGUCACUACUGAUUAACAUUCUGGAAAGGAAAAGCUCGUACAUUCUCCAUGCUGAUUUUUUCAUGUGCCAAAAAUGGAAUCCUAGAGAUAUUGUGCUCUGAAAUCUGCAAAGGACAAGAUAUCGCAUAUUAAAGGAAGUGUACAAACCCUAACAUGUUCACAAACUUGACAACCACAAAAAAGAAAAAAGAAAAAAGAAAAAAGAAAAUCGUACAGUUAUAUGGAGAAAUCGCAAAUACUUUGAGAAUUAUCAUGGUUUUUAGACGAACUACCAAGGAAAGGCAAUGAAAGAAGAGUUAAUAAGGAUCAUGUAACUAAAGUCCACGCACAGAUCAUAUCAGAAUAAGUAAAACUAAAUGCUUAAAUAAUCUAGAUGAAAGAAUUGAAUGUGUACACACGCAGUGAGAAAAAUAUUCUGCAAGCCAAAGUUGGUAGACAGUAGCAGUAGAUUAAGCUAACAACAUCAUUGUUUGUAGCAGUAGACGGUAGAAACAUCAAUGAACAAUUAGAGAGGGGUACACUAAGUGAAUGCCCAAAGUUAACAAAAACUAAUUUUGGCUUAAAGAGAUCUCUUAUAGAAAUUGCAAUAAUUCCCUUUCCUUUACCUUUACCUUUUCCUAGUCCCAAAGUCUCCUCCUCCAUUAUAAUGACCAUUCCCAAAUGAAGCCAUUCCAUGUUCCCAUCUCUGAAAUCAGAGCAUUCAGAUUGAAAAUACAAGCACUUGUCAAGAGUUAUAAGCAAUAUGAUUCAUCAACUAAAAACAGCUCUUUGUCUCCCACAAGAAGGCAACCCUUUGCCUGUGAUUUAGUCAAUUGUCUAGUAAGACAGUUGAUAACAUAGAAAUUCAUGUCUUAGAUUUCUGGAGGGUUACUACUUAAUUAUAUCAAUCUCUAUACAUAAAUCAACUCCUCCAUGAUAUCAGACAAAUGAAAAAUAAGUUUCAACCUCGAUCUCUAAUAAUGCAAAAAGCACCACCAUGCCUGUAAGAAUCUUCUUUCAGCAAUCGGAAACUAGAUUUUCGGAUUUUACAGGACAAUAGCACCAUCCACUUCCUUACUUUGAGAGAAGAAAAACCUCUUUAAAACUUUACUCAGAAAACCUUAAAAUAUAAAUUGAUGAACUGAUUUAACAGCUCUUAGUACCCAAGAUUGAUUUCGGACCUCUCAGACAAGAGAUAAGAAUUGCGCAGCUAAAAAAUGAUCUGUUCAAGGAAAUACAAGUAACCUCUCGAGUCAGAUGGUACUGCAACAGUGAAGAAUAAAUCGAUAUCCAAAAUCCCAGCAACGAAAAGCUUGCUGUCAAACACUACAGUUAAUUCAAUGCAAAAUAGGAAUAGGAACUGUAUGGUAUUUGAUACUUGGUUAGGCAAGAAAAGGCCAAUGUUCAGUACAAAAGAGUAAAAUUGAAUUAACCAAUAGGGUUUACGUUCAUCAUUCAUGAUUUAUGUUAAAAAAUUCUCCUACUUUCUAACUCCAAUGUACUCUCAUUAUAAUUAGAUUCACUCACAUUCAACAAUAGUACUUUCUCACAGUAACAAUCCCUCCACAAACAUGGAUGCACACAUACAUUAACAGGUUGCAUUCCAAAAAAUGAAACAACGAAAAUUAAGAACCAAACCCAGGAAAGUUUCUUUCUUUGCCAAAUCUCCUCAUCUGGGUUCAUUUCAUUUCAAAUUAACUUCCAAUAAAAUGUCAGUUUCAACACUAAACUUCACUAAAAACAGUUUCGUUAGUCAUUUUCUUAGGAAACAAAGAGAGCAUAACAUAAGAAAGAACACAAACUGUAGAAAGAAAGAGAAGUUGAAAAUACCAAGUUUAGCCCAGACAUCAUUAGAGGAGGAACUGAAACCAGAAGAGCAUCCAGCAAUCUCCACGAUUUUUUCCUUCAAUGGGUAUUAUUUAAAACUCAAAAGAAUGAGAAAAGUUUCUCUUUGAGAGAAUUUUGAUUUGUGGGUUUUGAUUUUUGAUUUUCGGAGUUUUAAAGAGACAGAAGAGAAGGACAAAGCGUACACAGGAAGGAGAUGUCUCGACCAAGUUCAAUGCAGCGUACUGCCACAUUCUCACAAAAUUAAUUAAUUUUUUUAAAAUUUAAUAUAAUUUAUAUAUUUUAAAUCAUUUUGAUAUACUAACAUAAAAAAUAACUUUUAAAAAAUAAAAAAAUAUUAUUAUCAUGUAUUUUAAUAUAAAAAAUUAUUUGAAAAAUAAUCAAUACCACACUACUAAGCAUAUUUUAAAGUGGGCUGCAUGCAAUCUAUGUAAGAACUCAGUUUUAUUUUUAGCAUCACAUUUUAAAUAAUCUAAAACCAUUAUAAAACAAUUAAUUUAAAAUAAAAAUAAAGAAAAAUAAAUAUUUAUAAAAGAACUUUUGAAAUAUCCAAAGUGACUCAUUAGACCUCACAUAUAAUAUUUUUUUGAAAUAUUAUAUAUUUUUAUUUUAAUUGAAAAAUUAUUUAUAAUGAAAGAUUAAAAACUUAGGGUAAAUUCUUUUUUUUUUAUUUAAAGAAUAACUAUAAAUUUAAAAGUACAAAGAGGCUUUUAGUAGUGAAGAUUAAGAAUGUAAUGGAUAUUUUUUUUUAAUUCUAAAACAAGAUAUAUAUUUUUUUUCAUGGAAAUAAUAUUAUCUAAUUUAUUGAAUUAGAUAAAUUUUAUGAAUUCAAUUCAAUUCAAGGUUGCAUAUCAAGGUUGAAUAUCAAUUUUUGAAUUUGAUUUUUUUAAAAUAUUAAUUUAAAUUUCAAAUAAAAUUCAAUUCAUAAAAAUUAUACAAAAACAAAGAGAGGCUUGAUUUGCUAGAAUAAUUCCUUUGAAAUUAAUAUUCUAAAAAUACUCAUCUCUUUCUUUCCUCUCAGAAACUCUACACGAACACUCUGACAAAGAUAAGUAAGAGAAGUAAAGCAAAUAUGGUGACUAAAACAAAAGAGCCGCAAUUGAAUAGAUUGUAGAGUCAAGUGGUCAAUGAAGGAGGAGGGGCAUAAGAGCAUCCCUGCUUAGUUAGAAAGCUCAAAGUUUGGCGUUCUGUCAAGGUUUUAAAGCAUGGUUUAUGGAUCUUGAAUGAUUCCAAAAAAAGAUCCAGUCUUGAUCCUAAAGGUGUGUACUGUCACGAAAGCUCAAACUACUAAACUAAUUACAGAAUCAAAAUCCAACCACACAACUACCUUGCUGCCAUCUACCUUGCCUCAGACACCACUGUCUCAGAUUUACUUUGAGCGAUUCCCCUGUUGGGUAGAUUAUCGAAGCCACCGCAGAACUUUUAACAAAUAUGUAGUGAUUGUAAUGUACAUAUCACGAAGAAACAACAGAAGAAACCGGUUUAGCUUUUAACAGAAACGGAGGUUUGGCCUUGUUACAAUGAAAACAGAUUCUUCACUACAAGAGCUCCUUGGAAAGCUUAAUGGAGUAUGGUUUAGGUCUUAUCGUCUACGUGCAAGUUUGAAGCGGUUUCAACAGGUGAAUAAAGAUUCAACGCAUCGGAUUCCGAUUAGAAAAACAUGUUCAACGUGUAUUAGUACUAGUAAAGGAGCGAGACUGCAGAAGUUAUGCUAUGGUUGCGCGCAGAAAAAAAUUCAGCAAGCACUCGUGAACUCCGAAGCAAUGCACACCCUACUAAUCAAACAGAGGAUAUCAACGGAGUCCCUGUCAUCCAAAACGAGACUAUUAAUGAAGUCCCUGUUGUUCAACCAGUGGCUGCACACUUUAUAACACAUGAUCCAGCAGAGGAGGAGGUUGCAUGGAUGAAGAAUAGCUUGGUAGGAGUGAUAAAUGAAGGUGUUAAUUAUCAGGAUAUAAGGAAAGACUUGCAUUCUAAUGGAGUUCAAUUAACGGGUUUUUGUUCUAUGGGUGCAUCACAAGCUUUGAUCUCGUUCAAUACUUCUGACUCCACGAUGGAAGCUUUUGAAUUGGAUAUAACGCCUUGGCAUGGUUAUUUUGAUGAGUUGAGGCCUUGCAUUGAUACAGAUGGUCCAAUUGAUCGAUUUGCCUGGAUUGAAGCUACUGAUUUGCCAAUAACUGGUUGGAAUGUUACGAGCAUCAACAAGAUUAUAUCAGUAUAUGGUAGAGCUAUAGGUUUUGACAAAAUCAAUUUGGGGUAUAGCAAUCUUGGUCAUAUUAAUCUUUUAAUUGGAAAACGGCUUCACAGAUUUAUUAAAGAAAACACUACUUUGUGGUUAAAUGGGAAAUAUUAUAAGAUCAAAUUGCAGGAAUUGGAUCCUCUGCAUUAUCUAGUAUCUGAAGCUAUUGAGGACAACAUGACCGCUUUUGAUCUGAUGAAGCAGGAAGAUGAGAGUGAAACAGAGACUAGUACUGUUGACACUUUGAUGUUGAAAAUGCUGACGAGAUAGCAACUAAAAGCUGUGCACAUUUGGCGUUGAUUGUGGAUGUGAUUAGCUGUUCGCAUAACAACAGGGAUUUGGAAAUCUGUAAAACAGCUGUUUCUGAUGUUCCUGUUGAAAUUCUGUUCCGGAAAUAUUGGAGAGAAGAUCACCACAACAAGAUUUCAGGGGUGUUUGGAAUUAAGUUUCAACUACGGAAACUACUAAACAAAAACAGUAUCUAGGAGGUGCCAUCAGAAUCAAAUGUUGAGAGGCACAACACAUCCCAUCCCAUGAAUUAGUGCCUCUUGACAGUCCUCAACUAUCAGAAGAACAACACUCAACAUCUCUGGGUUCUUCUACACCCAGUAGAGCAGCCAUAAACCCAAAUACCCAGCAUAUAUUUCACCCUAUGAUUUUACAGAGAAGGAGGAGGAAGGUUAAAGUCUUUUCAUCAACUGACAGUUUAGAAAACGAUACGGCAGAAGGGGAAGGGGAUGGUUCAAGCUCACUUGACUCUGGCAUCAGACAAGGAAACGCUCGUUACACUCAUCUUAGUGACGUGUCUGUACCAUAAAAGAAUGGGAAAGAUGAUGAGGUGCAAGAGAUGUUAAAUGCUGGGCAGUUUCUGGGAUUUAUAAGUGCUUAAGAUCAGGCGGUUCUAACAGUAUACAUUACAAAGCAAUUGGAUAGGGAGAUUGGUGAUUAGGCUGCGAAUUAAUUAAUAGAAGGUGGAGAGUCUGAAUAAUGAGCAUAGGUACAAUUAGUAAUAGUUCUAUUGCCUUGUAAGUUUAACAUGAGUGUUUGGAGGAAUGAUCCAAAUGAUGUGAAAUAAUGAAGUACAAUCACUAACAGGGUAUUAUGUAGGGUAUUGUGUAGAAGAGGAUUUCUUAGAAAAUAUAAAUUUAAUUGCUCCUAAAAAAACAAUUUGUUUUUUUUUGUAUUGUUGAAACACAAGUGGUCAGUCAUAAUUCGUUUGGUAUUUAAUGGUGCAUGUAGAAAAGAAUUGGUCAAAUGUUAACCUAAUGGAAUGAAUUGUGAAAGGAAAUUUCAAAGUCUAGCAAUUAAUACGUUAUGGAAUAUUUUAGGGGUAUUUGAGUACUAGUUAGAAAUAAAGUGGUCUUUGAGAAUCAAUUGCUAUAUUGGAAUUCAACCCUUGAAUUAAUUCUCCAUCGUCUUCAUCUAUGGCUGAAGACCUUUAAAGCUAACUUUAUGCAUGGAGGUUUUGACCCUUUCAAAGGCCAUAAAGAAUUUUGAAUGGACCCUCAUGUAGAACUAUUGCUUGUACUUUCGGUGUCAAAAAGUCUUUUAAAACAAUAGAAAUAGAAAUCUUUUGCUACAUAUAAAACUACAUUAUGGAAACAUGGUAUGAGAAUAUCGGUAAGGUUUAUAUUGCUGGGAAGUCUAACUUUUUGAACCAAAGAAAGAAAUUCAGUGUAACAUUUAAUCAAAAGUAAAGAAGAAAGUUCAGUUGACGUACUAGUCAAAGUCUUGUUUGGAAAAAAAAACCGAGGCUUUGAAAAAAGGAUUGUGGAAAUUUAGACCAUUUGAUUUUGAGAGUAUCAGAUUAGACGGAGGAGAGAUGGAGGCAGCCGAUUGCACGAUCAUGGUGUUAUUAGUUUGCCGCGUGGAAAAUCAUGCCAUUUGACUCCGAUGCGGUCAAAACCUCACCAACAACACGGCUGAUAAAAUAGGCCAUGCACUUCACGAUACACCUGCUUUUUGACUGCUUUAGCUCUCGGAAAAACUGUUUGAUGCUCAAGCAAGAGCUAUAAAUUUGCUUGAUUUUGAUCAAUUUGUGGCUAACGAAAUCUCCUUGCUCUAUGUUACCUUUUAUUUUUAACAAUUAUUGCGUUGCUAAUAAAUUGCAAGAAAGCAUAUUCUUUCUCUGGAACAAUAGUCUGUACCAACCUUCAUCAGUCCUCAUUACUUCGCUCUUCAGCUAACCUUUCUGAUUGCUGCAAUUUGAUCUUUAAAGUCACCAAGUUGAUGGAAUCCGACCAACUCAUAAACACCAUAUAGAGGUAAUCUCUGCGAUUGUUGCUACUGAUUGCAUGCAUGCAGUCCUUUUUGGUUUCAUCUUUUCAGCAAUAUCGAUUGUUGCAGGACAGCGAUAUUCAUCAGCUAACCUCUCUGAUCUCCAGUUGCUGCAUUUUCAUAGCUGGCGGAAUCCAACCAGCCCUUGGGUUAUGUAGAGGUAUAACUAACUCUCUUUGCUUCGUUUUAAUUUCACGUAUUUACUUAUAACAAUAAUUUGGAAGUUUUACGUUCAGAUAGAUAUAUCAUCAUUGACCAGUUUAUUGAGUUCCUUGUAGAUCUUCAAGCACAAUAUCAUUCUAUUUUAGAAUGCAGAAAGUAAAACGCAAGCAAUCCAAAGAUGAAGAAAACGAUUCAUCCUCGCGAAAGAGAAGAAAAGCAGACCUCAGUAAGCCUGUCAGUUUUGUCUCCACAGGUAACGUAGAAAUAUCUCGUGCUGAGAGCAGUUAUGUUAAAAUCGGAUCGUGAAAGUUCCAUUCUGCUAUUAGGCUAUGCUUAUUAGCAAUCAAAAUCAGUUUACUUCUUUCUGUUAGAAUAAAUAACUAGGGGAGAGGGAGGUAAGGAAGCAUGGUGGAAACAAUAUAAUAUAUUAUUUUCUAAGAGAGGAAGUUCUUUAGGACACAUCAAAAUUAACCCCACCACUUUUAUCAUUUCCAAGUUCAUGAUUUGCUGUCAAUAUGUUAUUUGUUUCUUAAAGAUUAAUCACUUUCACGGGGAUUCCUCUUUAUCAUGUCACUUAAAUUAUAUACAUAUCAAAAUUCAGCUUCUCUAACAAAUUCCCAUCAGAAUUUACAUGUAUUGUCUCUGAUGAUCGCUUUACAUGCAUUCCUUGCUCCAUUGCUAAUUUAUUGUGUCAUAAUUUCUGCAGCUGCCAUGACAGAGCUAGAGUCUUCUCGCUCUAGACCAAAUGGGGCCUACGAUGUAUUUCUGAGUUUUAGAGGAGAAGAUAAUCGCAAGAAUUUUACAGAUCAUCUAUAUACUGCCUUAGUCCAAGCAGGAAUCUACACUUUUCGAGAUCAUAAUGAAAUUCCUAGGGGAAGAAAUCUCCAAACAUCUCCUCAAGGCAAUUCAAGAAUCAAAGAUAUCUAUAGUGGUCUUCUCUAAAGGAUAUGCUUCUUCUAGAUGGUGUCUUAAUGAACUUGUAGAGAUUCUUGAGUGCAAAAACAGGAAAACUGGUCAGAUUGUUCUUCCUGUAUUUUAUGACAUUGAUCCUUCAGAUGUGAGAAAGCAGACCGGCAGUUUUGUAAAAGCAUUUGAUAAGCAUGAAGUCUGUUUUAAAGAGAAGGUGAAGGAGUGGAGAAAAGCUCUUGAGGAGGCGGGAAAUCUCUCCGGAUGGAAUCUCAGUGAUAUGGAAAAUGGGUACGCCUUUUUCCCUCUAAGAUUCCGUGGCACACAUUUAUGGAGUAAUUAUACAAUAGAUUUUACCAUGUGAAAUAAUAAUUUUUUUUUAGCAUGGUUAAUUGUCUCUCUAUUAAAGACUUGCUUUUGUUUAUGAGCAGGCACGAAUCAAAAUUUAUCCAAGACAUUAUCAAGGAUGUGUUGAAUAAAUUGGAUCCCAAGUACAUAAAUGUUUCUACUCACCUAGUAGGUAUUGAUCCCCUUGUACAUACUAUUAGUGACUUCAUAAGUACCGCGACAGAUGAUGUACGCCUUGUGGGCAUACAUGGGAUGCCGGGAAUAGGAAAGACGACUAUAGCAAAAGUUGUAUUUAAUAAACUCUGCUAUGGAUUCGAGGGAAGCUGUUUUCUUUCGAAUAUCAAUGAAACAUCAGAACAAUCGAAUGGUCUUGUUCUUUUACAAGAACAACUUCUUCAUGAUAUCUUGAAGCAAAAUCCUGCAAAUAUCAAUAAUGUUGAUAGAGGAAUGGUUCUGAUCAAAGAACGACUUUGUCACAAAAGAGUUCUUGUUGUUGUUGAUGAUGUGACUUAUCAAUACCAACUAAAUGCUUUGGUGGGAGAUGGAAGUUGGUUUGGUCCCGGAAGUAGAGUAAUAAUUACAUCUGAAGAUGAACGCUUGCUUCUAAAAGUGGAUCGAAAAUGUCAGGUCGAAAAUUGAAACGAGAUGCGUCCCUACAACUUUUCAGUUGGCAUGCCUUCAGGGACACCAAGCCAGCAAAAGAUUAUGUUGAGGUGUCGAAUGAUGUCGUUGAUUAUUGUGGAGGGCUUCCUUUAGCCCUUGAGGUUUUAGGUUCUUGUUGUUGGUGGGAGGAACCACUGGUGGUGGCUUUGAAACACUCAGAGGGGAUAAAACACACUGGUUUUAUUACAAAAUCCGAAGCUUACAAUUAACACAAAACAAAAGCUUAACACACGCCCUCUCUCUCUCUCUAUUCUCUUUCAAGUGUUUCUCUCUAUUCUCUCCACACAUAUAACAUAAGCUGGGCACUCUAUUUAUACACGAAAUCAAAACAAGAAAAUUCAACCUUCAAGUGUGAAGGCGGCUGGCGGCUGUGGCAGCUGUGGAGGCGGCUGGCGGCUGCGGCUGGUGGCUGGCGGCUGGUCGGUUGGUGGCUGGUCGGUGGCAGCUGGUGGUUGCCUUCCUUGACCAUCUAGAGGUUGAGUUUAAUUCAACAAAUCUCCCCUUUAAACUCAAUCGAGGGAUAUCAUGCCAAGCAUGAACACUUCUCUCUUCAAUGCCUUCUCUGCUUGUAGACCCUUUUGACACCUAUUGCUUUCUUCUUUUCUGGUGGGUCCUUAUCUGCAUGGAAACAAAACAGAGUUGUAUCUUCCAUGACCUGAGUGGUAUCAUACAACUCUUCAAGAUUCCGCAUCUUUCUUGGUCCUUCUGACGAGGAUGCUGAUGGUGGUGUUGAUGAUGAUGCUCCUGGUGUGUUCCUCCUGUUGAAUACAGGGAAACUGUGUGCCGGACUUUGUGGUUCAGCUGCUGGUAUAAACACUGGACUUUGUGGUUCAGCUGCUGGCACAAUCGGUUCUUCUAUAAGUACUGUUGGUACUUCUUCACCUUCAAGGAUCAAAUCAGUGUUGAUCCAUCUGACUGCUUCUUGAUCACCAUUCCAUGCCCAAGAUUUAUCUUCUUCAAAGAUAACAUCUCUACUCGUAAUCACCUUCUUCGUGAUAGGAUUAUACAGCCUGUAUCCCAUCCUUCUUUCACCAUAUCCGACAAAGAUGCAUUUCUCGCUCUUAUCAUCGAGCUUUCUCCUUCUUGCAUCUGGGAUCUUUGCAUAUGCCACACAACCAAAGACUCGUAGAUGAGUAACACUUGGUUUGUGACCACUCCAUGCUUCUUCUGGAGUACCUUGCAAACUUCUGGUUGGGCAGCGAUUCAACAGAUACACUGCACAUGAUACAGCUUCAGCCCAGUAUUGCUUGGGCAGCUUCUUUGCUUUGAGCAAACUUCUGCCAUGUCAAGAAUCGUGCGAUUCUUCCUUUCUGCUACACCGUUCAGCUGUGGUGUAUAAGCUGGCGUCGUCUGAUGUCUGAUGCCUUGUUGUGUACAAUAGGCUUCAAAGUCAUUUGCUGUAUAUUCUCCACCUUGAUCAGAUCUUACGGUUCUGAUCGUGUAACCAGUUUGCUUCUCCACAAUUGCUUUAAAAUCUUUAAAACAAUUGAAUACUUCUGACUUCCUCUUCAGAAAGUAUAUCCACGUCUUUCUACUAAAAUCAUCAGUAAAAGUGAGGAAGUACCUAUUUUGUCCAGUCGACAUAGGCGUAAUUGGGCCACACACAUCUGUGUGUACUAACUCCAGUGGCCUCUUUGCUCUCCAGUUGACUUCUUUGGCAAAACUGGAUCUGUGUUGUUUGCUGAGGACACAACUCUCACAGACUUCUCUCUGGAUGAUCAAUGUGAGGCAAACCUUUGACCAUCUUCUUGCUUGCUAGCAUCUUCAUACUCGUGAAAUUCAGAUGUCCAAGCCUCAGGUGCCAAAGCCAUUCUUCACUGUUGGUGAUGGCACUCAAACACCUUGUUGCAUCAUACUGGAUGUUCAAAGGAAACAUCCUAUUCUUGGACAUUUUCACGUAGGCCAUUAAUCUCCCAUUGUUGUCUCUAAUUGUCAGAUGACAAUUCUUCGAGUAAAAACUAUAUCCUCUCUCCAAAAGUUGGCCUAAGCUGAUCAGGUUCUGCUUUAUGGCUGGGACAUAAUACACAUCGGCGAUGUAGCUGGAAUCGCCAUUCUUCAACUUGACUGGGAUGUUGCCUUUACCUUUGAAUGGAACCUUUGUGGUAUCUCCAAAAGUAACUAGACCUUGCUUGGUCUCAUCUAGAUCACCAAAUAACUCUCGGUAGCCGCACAUGUGAUUGCUGGCUCCAGUAUCUAGAUACCAUAUCUCCUCUUGUUUCUCGCCAUGUCCUUGUUGGACAAGAAAUGCAGAUGCUUCUCCAUCAUGCUUCUCUACAUAGUUGGCUUGCUCACGUAUCUCCAACGGAGCUUUCCAUCGGCAUUCAGUGCUAUAGUGCCCAAAUUGAUUGCAGCUAUAACAUUUGAUAUUUCUCUUAUCACGGUUAUUGUAACCGCCUCCUCUUCCUCUAGGAGUGAAUGCUUGUUGGCCUCGGCCUCCUCUGGUGGUGUUUCUGCCACUCUUCCUCUAAGCUUGUAUUCCAAGAACCUCUUCCUUGGAAUCUCUGGAAUCCUCCUCUGGAUUGUUGACUUCCUCCUUGAGUGGUGUAGCCACUUGAUGAAGUCUCCCCUUGCUCAUAUCUGUCCUUGAAAGACAGCUUUGCUUGUAAGGCAUGCUCAAUGGCCUUAUCUUCAUUUCGCAUUACAAUCUUCUGCUCAUGAGCUUGCAAAGAACUCAUAAGCUCAUCCACUGUCAACUUGUCCACUUCCUUGGACUCUUCAAUUGCGACAACAACAUGAUCAAAUUUUGGAUCUAUGGAUCUCAAAAUUUUCUCAAUAAUUCGAGUAUCGAUGAGGGCUUCUCCAUUUCUUCUCAUCUGGUUGACUAUCACCAUAAUCCUUGUGUGAUAAUCAGAAAUAGACUCCGAGGACUUCAUUCGUAAUAAUUCGAAUUCUCCUCUCAAAGAUUGAAGACGAAUCUUCUUGAUUCUGUCAGCACCUUUGUAUUUCUGUUGGAGAGCCUCCCAUAUAUCAUGUGACGUUUCAGCGGAAGCUAUUAUCUCGAAUGUAUCUUCAUCAAGACCUUGAUAGAUGAUGGUCUUUGCUUUGUUGUCCUUCUUUCUGUUGACUUUGAGGGCUUGCUUCUGUGCCUCUUGUAAAAUCUUCUCUUUCUUUGGACUCUGGUUCAUCAUAACCAGUUUGUACAAUAUCAAAACACUCUUGUGACCCAAGAAAUGCCUUCAAUCUGAUGCACCAACUAUCAUAGUUGUCUUUGGUCAGCUUCGGGAUGAGUGUAUGUGUACCUUCUGUAGUCAUUUUGCUCUUUUAAUGACUAUAUCGCCUUCUGGGAGCCGAAUUUGACCAAACGGACACUGUAGAUCGAUCCGGAAUGGUCCAAAUAGUCGGGAACCGGUCUGACUUUGUUGAAAUCGGGUCAGAAAAUGGGUGAACCGGUCAAAAAACCAAUUCUGUACGGCGGGCGGUUCGCUGGGUUGAACCGGGAAUAUUCUGGGGAAUAUUCGGGGAAUAUUCUGGGGAAUAUUCUUGGGAAUAUGCUGGGGAAUAUUCGUGGAAUAUUCUGGGGAAUAUUCCUUCGGCUCGGCUCGGCUCGGGGUAACGGCUCGGCUGUGUGGCUUGGCUGGACUCGGCUUAGGCGGCUUACACGGCUCGAAUAUGGCGCGCGUGUGGCUCAGUCGUCUUCAACCUCGGGGCGCGUGGGAUGCGCGUGGGCGAUCUGGCUGAAUAUUCAGACGGCGCGUGUGGGCUACCCCGGACUCCGAUGAGGCUGAUUUUUGCGGCGUUGAGUUCGUCUUGAUGAGCUCUACACUGUGGAAUGAUCAAAACUUGUUUUUGACAACUUUGAAAAUUCGGAUAUACCCCAAAACUCUUCUGUUUUCCGACGAACGGGGCUCUGAUACCAAUUGUUGGUGGGAGGAACCACUGGUGGUGGCUUUGAAACACUCAGAGGGGAUAAAACACACUGGUUUUAUUACAAAAUCCGAAGCUUACAAUUAACACAAAACAAAAGCUUAACACACGCCCUCUCUCUCUCUCUAUUCUCUUUCAAGUGUUUCUCUCUAUUCUCUCCACACAUAUAACAUAAGCUGGGCACUCUAUUUAUACACGAAAUCAAAACAAGAAAAUUCAACCUUCAAGUGUGAAGGCGGCUGGCGGCUGUGGCAGCUGUGGGGGCGGCUGGCGGCUGCGGCUGGUGGCUGGCGGCUGGUCGGUUGGUGGCUGGUCGGUGGCAGCUGGUGGUUGCCUUCCUUGACCAUCUAGAGGUUGAGUUUAAUUCAACACUUGUUUGUCCGGGAAAAACAAAUCUAGAUGGAAAUGUAUAAUCGACAAAUUGAGAAAAAUUCCAAACCAUGAUAUUCAGGAAAAACUUCGAAUAAGUUUUGACAAACUGGAUGACCAUAAACUACAAAAUACAUUUCUUGAUCUUGCAAGCUUUUUUAUUGGUAGAAAUAAAGAAUAUGUAGCAAAUGUACUUGAAGCUCGAUGUGGUUACAAUCCAGAGGAUGAUUUGGGAACUCUCAGUGAAAGGUCUCUGAUUAAUCUUAAUGCUUCUGAAAUAUAAGCAUGCAUAAUCUAUUACGAGACAUGGGAAGGGAGAUCAUUCACAAAGAGUCACCUAACAACCCAGGAAAACGCAGCCGCGUAUGGUAAUAACUAAAUGCAUACACAAAUGCUCGUUUAUCUUUCUUUUUAAACUUCUAGCAUAUAAUUACUUUGAAACUCUAUUGAAUUUUGUUGGUUUUUUAGGGAACGAAAGUGGUAGAGGGUUUAGCGCUAGAUGUCAGAGCAUCAGAAAAUAAUUCAUUAAGCACAGGAUCAUUUACAAAGAUGAGAUGCUUGAAGUUACUCCAAAUCAAUGGAGCACGUCUAUCGGGCCCUUCAAACUGCUUUCUGAAGAGUUGAUAUGGACAACCUAGUUGUUCUUGAUAUGCAGUAUAGUAACAUCAAAGAAUUAUGGAAGGAGAAAAAGGUAAGAAAAAUACUACAAUUCUUCAAAAUUUGUGCUUGAUGUAAUGCAUAUUUUUAAGUUACAACUUCUGAUGAUUACUUUUUGUUAUUUUCCUUACUGCUCUUACAGAUUCUCAAUAAACUAAAAAUUCUUAAUCUCAGUUAUUCAAAGCAUCUUAUUAAAACACCAAACUUGCAAAGUAUAAGUCUAGAGAAACUUUUGUUGGAAGGUUGCUCGGGUUUAUUUGAGGUGCAUCAAUCUGUUGGACAUUUAAAGAGCCUCACUUUCUUAAAUCUAAAGGGAUGUUGGAGGCUAAAGAUUCUUCCCCAAAGCAUUUGUGAGGCAAAAUCUCUUGAGAUUUUGAAUAUUUCAGAGUGUUCACAACUUGAGAAGUUGCCGGAGCACAUGGGUGAUAUGGAAUCCUUUACCGAGCUGAUAGCAGAUGGAAUUAACAAUGAGCACUUUUUCGCUUCAAUUGAACAUUUAAAGUAUAUAAAGAAGUUGUCACUGUGCGGAUACAAUUUCACUGCGGACACGCCAUUAUCUACAUCCUGGUAUUCACCAAUUUCAUCAAGUGUUUUAGAUUGGAGAGCCUUGCUGCCAACUUGUUUCACUGGUUGGAGAUUAUUGAGAAAACUAAGACUUGCUUAUUAUGGUUUGUCUGAACGAGCAACUAAUUGUGUUGAUUUUGGUUGUUUGUCCUCUCUCGAAGAAUUGAAUCUAUCAGGAAACAAUUUCUUAAGUCUGCCUUCUGGCAUCGACGUCCAUCCUAAGCUGGGGCUUUUGAGAGUGUCGUACUGCAGCAAUCUUGUAUCAAUCUCAGAGCUUCCCUCAAAUUUAAAAUUCUUGGAUGCAAUCGGUUGCACAUCAAUGGAAAAGGUAAGACUUCCAGUCCAGUCCAAAAACAAUGAAAAUCUGUCUCUAUAUAGGAGUCAAAAUUUAACAGAGAUUCAGGGCAUGGACAUGGAAGGUCUAAGUAAUCAUGGCUGGAUUAUUUCCUCUGAUACCGCCUCCGAUUUAUCAAAUAAUUACAAGAAGAGUUUUGUUGAGGUACUAUUUCUGUCUCUUCCGCACACAAAUAAAGACACAAUUGGCAUAAACUAUAUAUAUAUAUUAGUGUCUAAAAUUUCAGCACUCUUUGUAAUUAAUCAAUAUAUAUAUAUAUAUAUAUAUGCAGGCAUUGUGGAAUGGUGGUUAUGGAUAUCAUAUUCACGGCUAUGAUGCCAAAUUGCUUAUGGGAAUCUAUCAUCACAACGUGCGAAAGGGGUUCACCUUCCAUGGAGAAGGAUGUUCAUUAUCAUUUCAUAUACCUCCAGUUUUUCAAGGGUUGAUUUUUUGGGCUUUCACUACAAGGAUUUUUUUUAGUAGGAGUCAUACAAUCAAUGCUAUUAUAUAAAAAAAGAGCAACGGUAUGCAAUUGUUUGAAGCUACACUGGUAAUAGGACUCUAUUGCCCCAUAAGUUGGACAAGAUUCGUAAGUUUAAGUGAGAUGGCAAUGGAAGAAUGUUGUGGGCACGAAGAAUUGGAAUUGUAUGUGAAUUUGGGGAGCGCAGACAUUAAUGUGAAACAAUGUGGGAUCAAAGUGAUUGUAGAUUUGGAUUCAUUUGAAGGGCUGGAGUGGGAUCAUGACAUUGACAACCAAGAGUCAGAAGUGGGAAGAGAUGAAGUAGUACCAAUUCAUCUGCUUCCUCAUCCUCUUUAUGGUUCGCUGACAUUUUCUACAAUUGAGCAGUUUAAAGAUUAUUUAUAUAGGAAGAGUUUUUAUCCACUUCGCGAAGAAACUUUCAACCUGAGCUCAAUUAGUUGAAGGAUUGUUUUGUGAAAAAUCCAUACUUUAUGCCCUCUUAGAUCUUCCGUUAUCGCCUUGUUGUAUAAAAUAAAUAAAUAAAUAAAGCAUUUUGUUUUUGAGUUGGCAAAAUGAAUGAUUGCAGUGCAUGAAUAUACAGGCUCUUUUGAAAACUUAUCUCAAAGGCAAAAGUUUUAGUCAGCAUGGCUGAUCAGACUAGCACUUUUAAAGAGGAAAUUAUUUUUAAGGAUAAUGAGACUAGUUCUGUAGUCAAGAUGUCCGGAAUGGUAAUGGAUGGGUUUCCAGUCCUUGAGGAGUUCCAGCAUACCAUGAUAACUUUUGUCCCUGAUAAUGUCCAUGGAUGGAUUUCCAGUCCUUGAGGAGUUACAAACCAGAAACAGUGGAGAAAAACAAAGAGGCUUGUAAACAUUGCAUGGAGAAAUCUACAAUUGAUUCAGAUUGCAUCGAUGAUGUGACUUUUUUCUUCGAGUGUGCAUAGAGAUUGAAGUAAUUAAACAAAACAAGGCACGAUUUUGACUCUCAAAAUCACUCUAUAAACAGUUUGUUUCCAGAAAGAAAUCCAGGAGGGGCUUAUGGACGUUGAUAAAUAAUACAGGGGAGGCAGAAUUUGGGUCUGAUAAUGGGUUCAUCAAAUCACACCUUUUCUCCAGGAAAUUUUGAUAUGGCUACUAUCACUACGCGUAAGAAGAAGAAAAAGGGUUGUGUGAAGAAGAAGCAUCGAAAGGUAAAGCUCUUAAAUCUUUAGGGGGGUUUUGAGGGAACUGAUUUUGGCAUGUUUGUAGCGAUUCAUCCAUGGACUCAAGAAUUAUGAACUUUUUUUUAGAUCUGACGUCUUCUAUCAAUGGAAUACAAAUGUUCCUUGAUCAAUUUGGAUUUCACAGAAAUUUUAUACUUUCUAUUUUGAUCAACAUGAAAUUUUAUGAGAAGAUGCAAAUUACUAAUCCUUUUCAAUUAUUUAUAAUUAACAUGGACUGAUCAUAGAAUGAUGUUCAUACUUUUUAAUUUUUGCCCAAAGAUAUAAUAUAUGUUAAUAAAACUAUGCAAAUGCAUCGUAACUUCUAAUCAUUCACCACAUUUAACUAACAGUUUCCUUCUUUUUUUUUUUUUUUUCCAUCUCCCUUGAACAAAUAAUCCAAUAAAUUAUUCCCUUUCGAGUAAAAUUAUUUUCAACAAAUGAUACAUUAUAUAAAAAGAAACAGCCCAAAACACAAUGCUUUAUAUUUAUUUGUUUGUUUGUUUUGUACAACAAGGCGGUAAUAUCAGACCUCAGUACCGUUGCCAACUCAAAAACUAAAUCCUUCAACGAAUUGAGUUCAGGUUAAAUUAAGUUUCUGUAUGAAAUGGGAAAUUAGAUAAAUAAUCUUGCACUGCUCCAUUGUAGAAAAUCCUAUUGAGCCAUAAAGAGGAUGAGGAAGCAGAUGACAUGGCAGUACAUGUAUCACAUUAAUGUCAACGCCAUGAUUCCACUCUAUUCCUUCAAAUGAAUCCAAAUCUACAAUCACUUGGAUCCCACAUUGUUUCACAUUAAUUUCUUCGCUCCCCAAAUUCACAUACAAUUCCAAUUCUUCGUGUGCACAAUGUUCUUCCAUUGCCAUCUCACUUGAACUUUCGUAUCUUACCCAACUAAGAGGGGAAUAGUGUCCGACUACCUGUGUAGCUUCAAACAAUUGAAUACCGUUGCUCUUCUUUCUAAUAAUAGCAUUGAUUCUGAGAAUCCGACUAAAAACAAUCCUUGUAGAGAAAGCCCAAAAAAUCAACCCUUGAAAAACUGGAGGUAAAUGAAAUGAUAAUGAACAUCCUUGUCCAUGGUAGUUCAACCCCUUUGGAAACUUAAAAUAAUAGAUACUCAUAGCCAAUUUGACAUCGUAGUAGUGAAUAUGAUAUCCAUAACUACCAUUGCACGAUGCCUGCAUAUAUAAAUUCAUUUGAAAGAGUGCUGAAAUUUCAAACACUAACAUAUAUAUAUAUAUAUAUAUAUAUAUAGAGAGAGAGAGAGAGAGAGAUGUUGGUGGGAGAAACCACUGGUGGUGGCUUUGAAACACUCAGAGGGGAUAAAACACAAUGUUUUAUUUACAAAAUCCAAAGCUUACAAUUAACAACAAAACUCACAAUACACACCCUCUCUUUCUCUCUAAUGUUUCUCUCUAUUCUCUCCACACACAAUAACAUAAACUGAGCACUCUAUUUAUACACGAAAUCAGAAUACAAAAAUUCAAACUUUCCAAGUGAGAAGGCGGCUGGCGGCCGGUGGUGUGAAGGUGGCUGGCGGCUGCGACUGGUGGCUGGUGGCUGGUUGGUUGCCUUCCUUGACCUUCUGGAUGUUGAGUUUAAUAUUCAACAAAUCUCCCCCUUAAACUCAAUCGAGAGAUGUCAUGCCAAGCAUGAACUUUUCUCUUCAUUGCCUUCUCUCUACUUGUAGCCUUUAUCCACUAAUUUGGCUUUCGUCUUGUAGACCCAUUUGACACCUAUUGCUUUCUUAUUUUCUGGUGGGUCCUUAUCUGUAUGGAAACAAAACAAAGUUGUAUCUUCCAUGACUUGAGUGGCAUCAUACAGCUCUUCAAGAUUUCUCAUCCUUCUUGGUCCUUCUGAUGAGGAUGCUGAUGGUGGUGUUGAUGAUGAUGCUCCUGGUGUGUUCCUCCUGUUGAAUACAGGGAAUCUGUGCACCGGACUUUGUGGUUCAGCUGCUGGCACAAUCGGUUCUUCUGCAAGUAUAAUUGGUUCUUCAACAAGUACUGUUGGUACUUCUUCACCUUCAAGGAUCAAAUCAAGAUUGAUCCAUUUGACUGCUUCUUGAUCAUCAUUCCAUUCCCAAGAUUUAUCUUCUUCAAAGAUAACAUCUCUACUAAUCACCUUCUUCGUGAUGGGAUUAUACAGCUGUAUCCCAUCCUUCUUUCACCAUAUCCGACAAAGAUGCAUUUCUCGCUCUUAUCAUCGAGCUUUCUCCUUCUUGCAUCUGGGAUCUUUGCAUAUGCCACACAACCAAAGACUCGUAGAUGAGUAACACUUGGUUUGUGACCACUCCAUGCUUCUUCUGGAGUGACUCCUUGCAAACUUCUGGUUGGGCAGCGAUUCAAUAGAUACACUGCACAUGAUACAGCUUCAGCCCAGUAUUGCUUGGGCAGCUUCUUUGCUUUGAGCAAACUUCUGGCCAUGUCAAGAAUCGUGCGAUUCUUCCUCUGCUACACCAUUCAGCUGUGGUGUAUAAGCUGGUGUCGUCUGAUGUCUGAUGCCUUGUUGUGUACAAAGGCUUCAAAGUCAUUGCUGUAUAUUCUCCACCUUGAUCAGAUCUCACGGUUCUGAUCAUACCAGUUUGCUUCUCCACAAUUGCUUUAAAAUCUUUAAAACAAUUGAAUACUUCUGACUUCCUCUUCAGAAAGUAUAUCCACGUCUUUCUACUAAAAUCAUCAGUAAAAGUGAGGAAGUACCUAUUUUGUCCAGUCGACAUAGGCGUUAUUGGGCCACACACAUCUGUGUGUACUAACUCCAGUGGCCUCUUUGCUCUCCAGUUGACUUCUUUGGCAAAACUGGAUCUGUGAUGUUUGCUGAGGACACAACUCUCACAGACUUCAUCUGGAUGAUCAAUGUGAGGCAAACCUUUGACCAUCUUCUUGCUUGCUAGCAUCUUCAGACUUGUGAAAUUCAGAUGUCCAAGCCUCAGGUGCCAAAGCCAUUCUUCACUGUUGGUGAUGGCACUCAAACACCUUGCUGCAUCAUACUGGAUGUUCAAAGGAAACAUCCUAUUCUUGGACAUUUUCACGUAGGCCAUUAAUCUCCCAUUGUUGUCUCUAAUUGUCAGAUGACAAUUCUUCGAGUAAAAAGUAUAUCCUCUCUCCAAAAGUUGACCUAAGCUGAUCAGGUUCUGCUUUAUGGCUGGGACAUAAUAGACAUCGGCGAUGUAGCUGGAAUCGCCAUUCUUCAACUUGACUGGGAUGCUGCCUUUACCUUUGAAUGGAACCUUUGUGGUAUCUCCAAAAGUAACUAGACCUUGCUUGGUCUCAUCUAGAUCACCAAAUAACUCUCGGUAGCCGCACAUGUGAUUGCUGGCUCCAGUAUCUAGAUACCAUAUAUCCUCCUUUUUCUCAUCAAGUCUUGUUGGACAAGAAAUGCAGCUUCUUCUCUGUCAUCCUUCUCUACAUAGUUGGCUUGCUCACGUAUCUCCAACGGAGCUUUCCUUCGCAUUCAGUGCUAUAGUGCCCAAAUUGAUUGCAACUAUAACAUUGAUAUUCCUCUUGUCACGGUUAUUGUAACCGCCUCCUCUUCCUCUAGGAGUGAAUGCUUGUUGUCCUCGGCCUCCUCUGGUGGUGUUUCUGCCACCUCUUCCUCUAAAGCUUGUAUUCCAAGAACCUCUUCCUUGGAAUCUCUGGAAUCCUCCUCUGGAUUGUUGACUUCCUGCUUGAGUGGUGUAGCCACUUGAUGAAGUCUCCCCUUGCUCAUAUCUGUCUUGAAGACAGCUUUGCUUGUAAGGCAUGCUCAAUGGCCUUAUCUUCAUUUCGCUUACAAUCUUCUGCUCAUGAGCUUGCAAAGAACUCAUAAGCUCAUCACUGUCAACUUGUCCACUUCCUUGGACUCUUCAAUUGCGACAACAACAAUCAAAUUUUGGAUCUAUGGAUCUCAAAAUUUUUCAGUAAUUCGAGAAUUGAUGAUGGCUUCUCCAUUUCUCCUCAUCUGGUUGACUAUCACCAUAAUCCUUGUGUGAUAAUCAGAAAUAGACUGAGGACUUCAUUCGCAAUAAUUCGAAUUCUCCUCUCAAAGAUUGAAGACGAAUCUUCUUGAUUCUGUCAGCACCUUUGUAUUUCUGUUGGAGAGCCUCCCAUAUGUGAUGUUUCAGCGGAAGCUAUGAUCUCGAAUGUAUCUUCAUCAAGACCUUGAUAGAUGAUGGUCUUUGCUUUGUUGUCCUUCUUUCUGUUGACUUUCAGGGUUGCUUUGUGCCUCUUGUAAAGCAUCUUCUCUUUCUUUGGACUCUGGUUCAUCAUAACCAGUUUGUACAAUAUCCAAACACUCUUGUGACCCAAGAAAUGCCUUCAAUCUGAUGCACCAACUAUCAUAGUUGUCUUUGGUCAGCUUCGGGAUGAGUGUAUGUGUACCUUUUGUAGUCAUUUUUCUAUUUGAAUGACUAUAUCACCUUUCUGGGAGCCGAAUUUGGCCAAACGGACACUGUAGAUCGAUCUGGAAUGGUCCAAAUAGUAGGGAACCGGUCUGACUUUGAACAAAUCGGGUCAUAAAAUGGGUGAACCGGUCAAAAAACCAAUUCUGUACGGCGGGCGGUUCGCUGGGUUGAACCGGGAAUAUUCUGUGGAAUAUUUAAGGGAAUAUUCUGGGGAAUAUUCUCUCGGCGCGCUGCGGCUCGGCUCGGCGUGGUGUACGUCACGCUCAUGGCUCGGCUUGACGUCUCGGCUCGGCUCGAGGCUCAAAUAUGGCGCGCGUGGACGGCACUCGUCGUCUUCCUCUGGCACGAGUGGUUGCGCGUGGGCUACAGUCAUCGGAUAUUCAGGCGGCGCGUGUUUGUCACCGCGGUCUCCGAUCAGGCUGAUUCUUGUGACAGUGAGUUCGUCUUGAUGAGCUCUACACUGUGGAAUGAUCAAAACUUGUUUUUGACAACUUUGAAAAUUCGGAUAUACCCCAAAACACUUCUGUUUUCUGACGAACGGGGCUCUGAUACCAAUUGUUGGUGGGAGAAACCACUGGUGGUGGCUUUGAAACACUCAGAGGGGAUAAAACACACUGUUUUAUUACAAAAUCCGAAGCUUACAAUUAACAACAAAACUCACAAUACACACCCUCUAUUUCUCUCUAAUGUUUCUCUCUAUUCUCUCCACACACAAUAACAUAAACUGAGCACUCUAUUUAUACACGAAAUCAGAAUACAAAAAUUCAAACUUUCCAAGUGUGAAGGCGGCUGGCAGCCGGUGGUGUGAAGGCGGCUGGCGGCUGGUUGGUUGCCUUCCUUGACCUUCUGGAUGUUGAGUUUAAUAUUCAAUAAGAGAGAGUAUUUAUGUGCAAGAGAGACAAAAUAGUACCUCAACAACGUUCUUCUUCUUAUUAUUUGAUAAAUCGGAGGCGAUAUCAGAGGAAAGAAUCCAGCCAUGAUUACUUAGACCUUCCAUGCCUUGAAUCUCCAUUAAAUCUGAACACCUAUACAGAGAUAGAUUUUCAUUUUCUUUUAACUGGAUUGGCAGUCUUACUCUUUCCAUUGAUGUGCAACCGAUUGCAUCCAAGAAUUUUAAAUUUGAGGGAAGCUCUGAGAUUGAUACAAGAUUGCUGCAAUUAUGAACUCUCAAAACCCCCAGCUUAGGAAGGACGCUGAUGCCAUAAGGCAGACUGAAGAAUUUGUUUCCUGAUAGAUUCAAUUCUUCAAGAGAGGACAAACCACCAAAAUCAACACAAUUAAGUGAGCCUUCAGACAAACCAUAAUAAGCAAGUCUUAGUUUUCUCAAUAAUCUCCAACCAGUGAAAGAAGUUGGCAGUAUAGCUUUCCAAUCUAAAACACUUGCUGACAUCCAUGAUGAAAUUGGUGAAGGCCAGGAUGGAGAUGAUGGUGCGUCCAGAUUGAAAUUGUAUCCGCACAAUGACAACUUCCUUACAUACUUUAAAUGUUCAAUUGAAGAUAAAAAUUGCUCAUUCUCAAUUCCAUCCGCUAACAACUCAAUAAAGGAUUCAAUAUCACACAAGUGCUCCGGCAACUUCUCAAGGUGUGAACACCCCGAAAUAUUCAAACUUUCAAGAGAUUUUACCUCACAAAUGUUUUCAGGAAGAAUCUUUAGCCUCCAACAUCCCUUCAGAUUUAAGAAAAUGAGUCUCUUCAAAUGUCCAAUAGAUUGAUGCACCUCAACCAAACUCGAGCAACCUUCAAGCAUGAGUUUUUCUAAACUUGAAUUGUGCAAGUUUGGUGUUUUAACAAGGUGCUUUGAAUAACUGAGAUUAAGGAUUUUCAGCUUGUUGAGAAUCUGUAAGAGCAAUGAGGAGAACAACAAAAACUAAUCAUCAAAAGUUCUAACUUGAAAAUAUAAACAACAAAUUUUGGAGGACUGUAGUAUGUUUCGCACCUUUUUUUCCUUCCAAAAUUCUUUGAUGUUACUAUACUGCAUAUCAAGAACAACUAGGUUGUCCAACAAUAAAUCGGAUGGAAAAGAUUUUAAAGCACAUUCAAGCCAACAAAUCCAUAUCAACUCUUCAGAAAGCAGGUUGAAGGGUCCAGUGAGAUGUACUCCAUUGAUUUGGAGUAACUUCAAGCAUCGCAUAUUUGUAAAUGAUCCCGUGCUCAGUGAUUUAUCUUCUGAUGCUCUCGCAUCCAGCAUUAGACCCUCCACAACUUCCGUUCCCUAAAAAAGCAACAAAAUUCAGUAGAACUUCUAAAUAAUUAUAAGCAAAACUUUUGAAAAGAAAGAUACACGUGCAUGAUUGUGCUUUUGUGUAUGCAUUUAGUAAUUACCAUCUGCUUGCUGAGUACAUUCCAUGCAUCCUUACGUUGCCAAAUUCGGCUGUGUUUUCCAGGGUGGUCUGGUGGCUCUUUAUGAAUGAUCUCCCUUCCCAUGUCUCUCAAUAGAUCAUGCAUGCCUAUCAUUCCAGAAGCAUUAACUUUAAUCAAAGACCUUUCACUGAGAAUUCCCAAAUCAUCUUCUGGAUUGUAACCACAACGGGCUUCUAGUACAUUUGCGAUGUAGUCUUUAUUUCUACCAAUAAAAAAGCAUGCAAUAUCAAGAAAUGUAUUCUUUAGUUUAUGGUCAUCAAGUGUGUCAAAACUUAUUCUAAGUUUUUUCUGAAUUUCACGAUUUGAAAUUUUUCUCAACUUGUCAAUUACACAUUUCCAUCUAGAUUUGUUUUUCCCGGACAAACAAGAACCUAAAACCUCAAGGGCUAAAGGAAGCCCUCCACAGUAAUCAACUAUAUCAUUCAAAAGCUCAACAUAAUCUUUUGUUGGCUUGCUAUCCCCAAAGGCAUGCCAACUGAAAAGCUGAAGGGACUAAUACUGUUUCAAUUCUUCGACCUGAUAUGUUCAAUCCGCUUUAAGAAGCAAGCGUUCAUCUUUAGUUGUAAUUAUUACACUACUCCCGGGACCAAACCAGCUUCGCUCUCCCAUCAAAGCAUUUAGUUGCUUCAAAUGAACCACAUCAUAAAAAACAACAAGAACUCUUUUGUGACAAAUUCGUUCCUUGAUGAGAACCAUUCCUCUAUCAACAUUAUUGAUAGUUCCAGCAUUUUGUUUUAAAAUAUCAUGAAGAAUAUGUUCUUGUAAAAGAACAAGACCAUUCGAUUGUUCUGAUGUCUCAUUGAUAUUCAAAAGAAAACAGCUUCCCUCAAAUCCAUAGCAGAGUUGAUUAAAUACAACUUUUGCUAUAGUCGUCUUUCCUAUUCCUGGCAUCCCAUGUAUGCCCACAAUGCGAACGUCAUCUGUCGCAGCACUUAGGAAGUCACUAAUAGUAUGGACAAGGCGAUCAAUACCUACUAGGUGAGUAGCAACAUUUAGGUUCUUGGGAUCCAAUUUAUUCAACACAUCCUUGACAAUCACUAGGAUAAAUUUUGAUUCGUGGCUGUUCAUUGACAAAAGCAACUCAUUAAUAGAGAGACAAUUAAGUAUGCUAAAAAAAUAUUUUGUUGUUUCACAUGGUAAAAUCUAAUGUAUAAUUACUCCAUAAAUGCAUACGAGUGAAUCUUAGAGAGAAAUGUCAUACCCAUUUUCCAUAUCAUUGAGAUUCCAUCCACUUAGAUUUCCAGCCUCCUCAAGAGCUUUUCUCCAUUCCUUCACCUUCUCUUUAAAACGUUCUUCAUGGCUAUCAAAUGCUUUUGCAAAACUGCCAGUCUGUUUUCUCACAUCUGAAGGAUCAAUGUCAUAGAAUAUAGGAAGAACAAUCUGACUAGUUUUCCUGCUUUUGCACUCAAGAAUCUCCACAAGUUCAUUAAGACACCAUCUAGAAGAAGCAUAUCCUUUUGAGAGCACCACUAUAUAUAUCUUUGAUUCUUGAAUUGCCUUGAGGAGAUUUUUGGAGAUUUUUUCACCUCUAGGAAUUUCAUUAUGAUCUCGAAAAGUGAGGAUCCCUGCUUGGACUAAGGCAAUAUAUAGAUGAUCUAUAAAAUUCUUGUGAUUAUCUUCUCCUCUAAAACUCAGAAAUACAUCAUGUUGGAAGUUAAGCUGAUUACUUGUUGUUAAAGCUUCAGAAGUAAAUCCUGUGGUGAUAACGAGAAGAAUGAAGAAUGGACGAAUAAUGAAUUAAUAGAAGAAGAGUCUGUUACAAUAGUUAAAAAACAGUUAAAGUAGUUAUAGCUGUUAUAACUAUUUUUUCUGUUACAAACCGUUUCUUACAUGUGUAAGAAUCGUAGCCCUCAAUCAAUGAAUGGUUGAGAUGAAUUGAUUCCUAAAGUCUAGAAUUCUAUUAUUGAUUACAUAAAAAAAAAAGUGUAUAAAAGCAGAGUUCUACACUAAUGGAACUGUAAGAAAAAUACAAAGGAAAUUCAAGAAUUCUUCUCAUCUUCUUCUCUGCAAACUUUUCUUUUAAUAAUCUGAAAAUAUACAUGGUAUCACAGCUCACAAACUGAUUCCUAAGAGGGGCGUAAACUGUGAAAAACAGAUUGAUUAAAUUGUUAAUUACUCAAAAAAUGGUAGGAUUAAGCUCAGCUGGAGGAGAUUUAAGAACUCCACAGUUUAAUGGCACAAAUUAUGAUCUUUGGGCUGUAAAAAUGGAAACAAUACUAAUAGCAUUUGAUAUAUGGGAAGUAAUAUAAGUUGGAAUAAAAUCUCAUCAAUCACCUGAGAUUACAGCUGGAUCAGGCGAUGAAGAGAGUGAAGCUGAGCAAAGUACAUUGCAUGCAUCCACGACAUCCAGAGAAGAAAAAAUCAAGAAUGCAAAGGCGUUAAGCCUCAUACAAGGAGCAUUAACAGACGAUCUUUUCCCACGUAUAAGAAUGAGAAGACUGCAAAAGGAGCUUAGGACAUCUUGAGCAGAGAAUUCAAAGGAGAUAAAAAGGUUAGAGCUGUAAAACCUCAAGCAGUGAGAGAUGACUUUGAAUACCUAAGAAUGGCAGAUAGUGAAAGCUUAGAUGGAUAUCUAGCUAAAUUCUUUGCAACUAUGAAUAACCUGAAAUCGUUAGGAGCAGAUGUAUCAGAAAAUAGAAUUGUGCAGAAACUCCUAAUGAGUCUAAGCAGAAGAUAUAAGUCCAUUGUGUCAAUCAUUGAGGAGACACGAGAUCUUGAUGUUCUGAGACCAGAAGAAGUCAUUGCUUCUGUUAAAGUUUAUGACAAGAGGAGGAUCUACAUGAUGAAAGGGAUAAGCUAACAGGAACAGAGAAAGCAUUUAGCAGUUUAAAGAUUGGAAACAAUCAAGCCUACAGCUCACACAAGGGUUUCCAAGGCAGACCCCCUCAAAGAUGGCAAUCACAGGACAUGAGAGGACCAAAUUCAUUUCCAAUCAGGAACGGAACCAACUAUAAUAAUUCAAGCUGGAACAACACUGCUUAUGGAAGUAGUCAAGUGGGUGUAAAGCCACAAUGCCAAGUCUGCUAGAAGCAACACUUUGGAUUAUGCAGACACAAAGGAAAGCCAAGAUGUGGAAGAUGCAACCGGUUUGGUCAUAUUGCAAAGAUUGUGAAAGUCACAGUCACAAACAACUUGCAAAUUAUGCUAAAGAAGAAAGAGUCACCACUGGAACCAUGUUCUAUGCUUGCCAUUCUGCAAGACAAAAGGUAUGGUUUAUGGAUAGUGCCUGCAGCAACCACAUGACUUCUCAAGAAUCUGAACUAAUCAACAUUGAUAGAACAGUAACCUGCAAAGUAAAGAUGGGAUCAGAAGACCUUGUGAAGCAACUGGAAAAGGUACAUUGGUUGUGGAAACUCAGCAUGGGAAAAGAUACAUAAAAGAGGUAUUGCUUGUUCCUGGAUUGGAUGAAAACUUACUAAGUGUAGGCCAGAUGAUGGAGCAUGGUUAUUACAUUCUGUUUGGAGGUAACAAAGCAGUAAUAUUUGAUGAUGAAAGUCUCAACAAUGUUAUAGCAAUAGUGAUCAUGGGAGGAAAUCGAUGCUUCCCACUUUCACUUGAGUCCAUCACACCCGCAGCAAGAAAAGCUUCAGUGACUGAGGAUUCCUGGAUAUGGCAUAGAAGACUGGGACACUUGAAUUUUGCCAGCAUGAAGAAGAUGCAGCAGAAAGAGAUGGUAUGUGGGCUUCUUGUUUUGACUGAAGUAGAAGAUGUUUGUGCAGGCUGUGCAUCAGGCAAACAUCACAGGGAGAAAUUCAACAAAGAGCAAGCGUGGAGAGCAAGCUAUCCACUGGAACUCAUCCACACUGAUUUGUGUGGACCAAUGCAGAAUGAAUCUGUGGAGGGAACAAAUACUUCAUCACAUUCAUUGAUGAUUACUCAAGAAUGUGUUGAGUAUACUUCCUCAGAAACAAAUCUGAUGCACUCAAUGUGUUCAAGAAAUUCAAAGCAUUCGUUGAGCUGCAAAGUGGAUAUAAACUGAAGGAGCUGAGAAGUGACAGAGGUGGUGAAUAUACUUCAAAUGAGUUUGAAGAAUUUUGUGUAAAACAAGGAAUGGAGAGGCAGCUGACAAUUGCAUACUCUCCUUAACAAAAUGGAGUUGCAGAGAGGAGAAACAGAACAAUUUGUGAAAUGGCAAGGUCCAUGCUGAUAGAAAAAGAAAUGCCAGUAAUCUUCUGGGCAGAAGCUGUGAAUACAACUGUGUAUAUUCAAAAUAGAUGUUAUACAACAUCAGUUAUCGAAAAGACUCCAUUUGAAGCCUUCACGGGUAGAAAGCCAGGAGUCAAGCAUCUAAAAGUCUUCGGUUGCUUAUGCUACACUCAUAUCCCACCAUCACUAAGGCAGAAAUGGGAUAGCAAAACUGGAAAGGGAGUGUUUGUUGGAUAUGGCAGCUGUGAGAAAGGGUAUAGAAUAUAUGACUUGAAAACUGAGAAGAUUGUUCUCUCAAGAAGUGUGAUUUUCAGUGAAUAUAGAGUAUGGAGUUGUGAAAGAAAUUGAUGAGCCCAAGUCACUUGUCUUUCACUCUUGAAGAAGGUGAAGUUGGAGGUGAAAAUUCUGAGGAACACUUUGCUGCAGUCCAACCCGAUGAUGUUGAAAAAUGCAAUCAAAAUUCUACAGUUGGAGAGUUAGCUGAGAAUAUUGACAGUAAUAGCAGUCAACAAUCUUCACCUAGCUCUACUCUAGUAAAAUUGAAAACCUUGGAAGAGAUAUAUGCAAGGUGUCACAUGUGCAUCAUAGAACCUGAUAAUUAUCAAGAAGCUUCUGGAGAAAAGCCUGGCAGGAGGCUAUGAAGGAAGAAUUGGAAGUGAUAGAGAAGAACAAUACUUGGGAAUUGGUGGAGAGACCUAUUGAUAAACCUGUGAUAGGAGUGAAAUGGGUGUACAAAACUAAGCUGCAUCUUGAUGGAACAAUUCAAAACACAAGGCUCGACUUGUAGCAAAGGGAUACGCAUAGAAAUCUGGAAUUGAUUACAAUGAAACCUUUGCACCAGUAGCAAGGUUAGACACAAUUCAAACCCUGAUUGCACUUGCAGCACAAAAGGGGUGGAAGUUGUUUCAAUUGGAUGUCAAGUCAGCAUUCCUAAAUGGUGUAUUGAAAGAAGAAGUGUAUGUUGAGCAGCCUGAAGGUUUUCUUGUAAAGAAUGCAGGACACAAAGUUUACAAACUGAGGAAGGCAUUAUAUGGACUAAAGCAGGCACCGAGGGCCUGGUACAGUGAAAUUGAUGCAUACCUCUCUAUGUGCAAAUUCAAAAGGAGCACAAGUGAGGCUACUUUGUAUACAAGGUCUGAUCGAGAAGGUAACUUAAUCAUUGUUUCAAUCUAUGUUGAUGAUAUUGUAUAUACUUGCAGUAGUGAAAGAAUGCUUAGUGAAUUCAAAAGAGAAAUGAUGCAGAGAUAUGAGAUGUCUGAUCUUGGACUUCUUCAUCAUUUUUUGGGCAUGGGAAUACUGCAAACUGAUCAAAGAGUAUUCAUCCAUCAAAGCAAGUAUGCAAAGUCCUUGCUUAAGAAGUUUGGGCUUGAGGACUGUAAACCAGUCUCUAUUCCUUUGGUCACUGGUGAGAAACUGAAGAAGGUGGAUGGGUGAGUUGGCUGAUGAAGGCCUUUAUAGGAAAAUAUAUUUGACAGCAACAAGACCUGAUCUGAUGUAUGCUGCAAGCUUACUAUCACGGUUCAUGACUGGAGCUACCAAAAUUCACAUGGGAGCUGCAAAGAGAGUCCUAAGAUAUGUGCAAGGAACUCUAAGCUAUGGGAUUGAAUAUGUAAGGGAUCAAUCAGCAACUCUUAUUGGAUUUUGUGAUGCAGAUUGGGCAGGAAGUGAAGAUGACAGUAGGAGCACCUCUAGUUAUGCAUUCAGUUUUGGAAGUGGAGCAUUCUCUUGGGCUUUUGUGAAACAGAACACAGUGGCAUUAUCAACUGCAGAAGCUGAGUAUGUCUCAGCAUCUGAAGCAACAACUCAGGCAAUUUGGUUAAGAUUUGUUCUUGAUGAUUUUGGUGAAAUGCAAGCCGAAGCAACAACCUUGUUCUGUGACAACAUGUCAGCAAUUUCAAUGGCUAAAAAUCCUGUUUUUCAUCAAAGAACUAGACACAUAAACAAGAAGUAUCAUUUCAUAAGAGAGGCUCUGCAAGAGGGAGUAAUAAAUAUGAAAUUCUGCAAAAGUGAAGAACAACUUGCAGACAUUUUCACAAAGGCAUUGCCUAAAGACAGAUUCAAGCAAUUAAGAUUGAAUCUUAGAGUUAAACCAGUAAGCAGCUUAGGAGAGGCUGUUGGAAGUUAAGCUGAUUACUUAUUGUUAAAGCUUCAGAAGUAAAUCCUGUGGUGAUAACAAGAAGAAUGAAGAAUGGACAAAUAAUGAAUUAAUAGAAGAAGAGUCUGUUACAAAGCAGUUACAGCAGUUAAAAAACAGUUAAAGUACUUAUAGCUGUUAUAACUGUUUUUUCUGUUACAAACCGUUUCUUACAUGUGUAAGAAUUGUAGCCCUCAAUCAAUGAAUGAUUGAGAUGAAUUGAUUCCUAAAGUCUAGAAUUCUGUUAUUGAUUACAUAAAAAAAAUGUGUAUAAAAGCAGAGUUCUACACUAAUGGAACGGUAAGAAAAAUACAAAGGAAAUUCAAGAAUUCUUCUCAUCUUCUUCUCUGCAAACUUUUCUUUUAAUAAUCUGAAAAUCUACACAUCAUAGGCCCCUUUUGGUCUAGAUCGAGAAGAUUUUGGCUCUGUCAUGGAAGCUGCAGAAAUUAUGACACAAUAAAUUAGCAAUGCAGUAAUGAAUUGGAGAAGGAAUAUGCUUUCUUGUAAUUACUAGCAAGGAAUGCAUGUAAGGCGAUCACCAGAGGCAAUACAUAUGAAUGUGCUGAGAUAGAACUUUCACAGAAACAAAUGGAUUGAUGAUAUUUGUCAGUGGAGUUCUUCAUUUCUGACCAUUGUUCAACACUUCCAUUAUUUAUCAGUGGAGUAUCAGUAAGUCAAAAGAUAUUUGCUAGGAUAUUCCAAAAUUUAGUGUUCUUUCAUUUAUUGAUUACCAGGCAGAUUCAAUAGACAAUAAAUUACAUGAGAACACUCAUGGGUACAUUAGAUAGGACUGAAUCAGACCAAGAACUCCAACAAACAAACCCUUUGUCUUUCUCCUUCCACUAAAUAUGCAAAAACAUCUUUAUCCCAAUCAGUGACCACAUCAUUGUCAUGUCACCUGACGCGUCACCCGCCACAUGUCAGGACACACCAUCUACCAUAUCAUCUACCAAAUCUCUAUCGGCCACGUCAUUAGUGGAAUGCAAGAAGCAUGAGGUUACAUGCUGGGCUACCCCCAUCAUUUUGGUCCGGAGUACUUGUUAAUACUACAAUCUACUUGAUCAAUCAAUGACCUUCUAUUCCUAUAAAUUUUAGAAUUCCAGAAGAGGUUUGGACAGGAAAGGAUGUAAAACUUUCACACUACAAAGUAUUUGGUUGUGUUUCUUAUGUACACAUAGAUUCUGAAGCUAGAAGCAAGCUUGAUCCAAAGUCUAGAAAAUGUAACUUUAUUGGAUAUGGAACUGAUGAGUUUGGAUAUCGGUUUGGGAUGAGAAAAAUUAAAAAAUUAUCAAAAGUAAAAAUAUCAUAUUCAAUAAGAAGGUGAUGUACAGGGAUAAGGGUGCAGCAGAUUCAGGUAGGCCUAAACCAGAAACAAAGACAGCUGAGGUAGUUGAUAUGGAUGAUAUUGUUGAAAGCAUUGUGCAAAAUAAUGGUCAAAAGACUCAAAACAAAGAAAAUGUUGAUCCAUAUAUAGAGCCAUAGACUCUAGUAACGAUAGUCAGAAGAUCUUCCAGAACUAUCAGACCUCCAUAAUGUUUCUCACCAUUAUUGAAUUACAUCUUGUUGACACAGAUAAUGGUGAGCCACAAAAUCAUGAUGAAGCCAUGCAAGUUGAAGAAUCAAGGAGGAAGGAGUCGGCUAUGAAAGAUGAAAUGGAUUCCUUGUUAUGGAAUCAGACAUAGGAGCUAUCUGAACUACCUAUAGGAAAGAAAGCUUUGCAUAAUAAAUAGGUGUAUAAGAUAAAAGAAGAACACGACGGUAGCAAAUGCUACAAAGUAAGACUAGUCGUGAAGGUAUUUUUAACAAAAAUAAGGUAUUGACUACACAUAUAUCUUUUCUCUUGUGGUGAAACUUACAACAAUUAGAUUGGUCCUGGGAAUUAUAGCUGCAGAAGAUCUACAUCUUGAGCAGUUAGAUGUGAAGACUGCUUUCCUUCAUAGAGACUUAGAGGAAGAUAUUUACAUGAAGCAGCCUGUGGGUUUUUUAGAAAAAGAAAAGGAGAAUAUGGUUUGUAAGCUGACAAGGAGUUUGUAAGGCUUGAAACAAGCUCCUAAGCAAUGGUAUAAGAAGAUUGACAACUUUAUGUGCAAUAAUGGGUUCAUGCGACUGCAAGCAGACCAUUGUUGUUAUAUGAAGAAUUUUGACGACUCCUGUAUCAUCUUAUUGCUAUAUAUGGAUGAUGUGCUAAUUGCCGGAUCUAGUAUCUAUGAGAUCAAUAAGUUAAAUUAAGAAGCAUUGAAAUAAAGGAUUUGGGAGCAGCAAAACAAAUCCUUAAUAUGAGAAUCACCAGGGACAGAGCUAAUGCAUGGUACCCUAAAGCUUUCACAAGAAGAGUAUGUUAAAUGACACGACCAAAAGAUUGAUGUCUUCUCCCAAGUGCAAGAGCGUCGAAGUAAUAAAUAACCCGGCAAGACCGGGGUCGAACCACAGGGAGGUUAACUAUAUAAACUAUAAACAACAACAACAACAAUAAUAAUAAGAUCAAGAGAGCUUUGGGAUGUGAUAUUGAUGUAAGGAUUAAACAAGCAUAAAAUAAUUAUCAAGGUUAGAGGAUCCACUAAUGGUACUUCAAACAAGUAUAAUAUAAACUCUUUUUAUUACUCAACUGGAAACCACACACAAAGGAGGUUCCAAUCGGAUUGUAAAUUGUUAACUUGAUUACAUUAGUUAUCUUAUUCGAAUAAUGAUAAUACUUGUAAAUGUUGUUAGGCAUUCAUGAUUAUAACUUAUGUUAACAACAAAUCAAGUUCCUUUCAUAGCUCAGGUGUCGGUUAUACCAUACAAUAUGGGCUAUGAAAGUGCCAAGUAUUUGUUGUGCCAAGUGUUAUGCAACAUAAAUCUAGAUUAACCAUUUAAUAAGCAAAGUAUUAAAAGUGAACAAGAUAACAAAUAUAAAACAUGUUAGUAUCCAACAUUAAGGUCCAUGUUAAGUUUAUAUUAUACUUAUUCUUACACCAUUAGUGUACCCUUUUCACCUUGACAUAAUUAACUUAGCUAAACAUAAUGAAUGAAAGAAACAUAAAUGAACAAGAUAAGAACAUAAAUGAGAAAGAAGUUAACUAAAUAAAGAAAAGGAAAUGAAGUGUAUAAACUUGAUAUUAAUAAAAGCAAAACAUAAGCAAUACAAAGAGAGAAAGCAAGAGCAUGAUCUUGAUCUAGAAACCAAGAUGCCUCAAUACAUGGUAAAUGCCUCCUUUUAUAGGCCAAAAUUUGGAACUAUUGAUUUGUUGACUAAUUGAUGAGUGGGUGGCCACAUCUUGACUUGGUAACAAUUCUUAUUCUUCUUGUCUGAACAAAACAUCAUUGCUGACAUCAUAAUUUGAAUAGAAUUUCCAUAAAACUUCUAGGAAAUUGUCUCAGCUUUCCAACAAAAAAAAGAUGAGGUCAUUUGAACUUCUAAAACUCAAGAUAUGGGCUGAACACUGAACAGUGUCUAGGCUGCAGGACAGAUUCAGACUUCUUUGUUGUUCCAACAAUUUGGACUUCAAAAAGGCCUUUUUAAUUCUUGGGUUCCACAUGAAAGUUGUAGGCCUAUGUUUUACCUUUCCAUCCAUAUAAAGUGGACCUAACUCCGAGAUCUAGAGCUCCAGAUAUGAUCCAAUUACCGAGCAAUGUUCCGGUUUGGACUGCACCAGGAUCUCCUUUCUAAGUUUGGCCAUCUCUUUGUCCUUUCACUUUCAAUACUUAAACUCAUCAAUCAAUCCUUUCAUUUAUGUGUUAAGCCUGCAUUUAAGAUAAACAUUUACCAUAAAUUAAAGGUAUCUUAUAUUAUUAGAUAUGUUAUUAUAAAACAUGCUUAAGUUAAGGAGUUAUUGAUACUUCAAGUGCAAAAUGAUGAUAUAAAACCUUGAUAAACAUGAGCAUAGUUCCUUGUGCAUCAGCAAUCAUAAGUCUUAUGUAUGCCAUGGUUUGUACAAGAUCAGACAUUGCAUAUGCAGUGGGAGCUUUGAGCAGAUACAUGAGUAAUCCUGGCAAACAACACUGGGAAGUGGUAAAAUGGAUUUUAAGAUAUCUGAAAGGUUCUUCAGAUAUACCUCUUUGUUUCACAAAUUCAAACUUGAAGCUUCAAGGUUAUGUGGAUGUCAUUUCGCCAGUGCUAUUGAUAGUAGGAAAAACACUAUAGGGUUUGUGUAUGCUGUUGCUACCCAAUUUUUAACCCAUGUUUUUGAUAAAUUUUUCAAAAAAUCCAAAAAUAGAGAAAAACAAUGAAAAUCCAAAAAAUAUGUUUUUUAUAUAUAUUCUCGUCAUUUUAGCAUUUUCAGCGUCGUCUAGAAAAAAAAAAAUUUAAUUUUCAAAAGAUUUUUAAACGCGUUCGACUUUUCACGCGUCAUUUUUAAAAGCAUUGAUUUUCCUCAUUAAGUCGACGUUGAUAUUGCUCGUUUUCAAAAAAUACAAAAAAAUAAGAAAAAUCAAAAUUUACAAAAAAAAAAAAAAGUUGAGGGACCAAGUUGAAAAACCUAGCAACAUUUUGCAUAUAAAUACUGGUUUCCUCAACACAUUCAAGGAGGGCGGACAAUUUUGUAAAGAGGGGAGAAACACAAAAACCCUAAACUUAUCUCUACCCAAAGGUAGCCGCCGGAGCCCCCAGCCCCUUUGAUUUUUUUUUUCUCUUCUUUCUUCCCCCACACACGGCAAAAAACAGCCCCCAAACCCCCUGGUUUAUUUUUCUUCUUCCUCUUCUCCAGCCGGCUGGCCAAGCCCCAUCGCCGGUCUUCUUCCCUCUCGGCCGCCCCUUCAAUCCUCCACACCGUAGCCCCAUCUCCUUCUUCCUUUUGAGAAACAAACAAAGAAAACAGCCCCCCCGGUCAUUUUCGUUUCUCUUCUCCCCAGUAACAGCCACAAAUCUGCCCUCUCCCACCUGAAAAAGCCACGGCCUCCACCGCAGCUUCAGCAGCCCCAGACCUACGGUCUCCGUUCGACCUCCAGCAGCGGCGGUCAGAGAAAUCGACCACGAGCAGCGCCACAGAACGACCUCAUCCCCACUGACCAGAGGACAGGCGGAGCCGCUCCUCUCUCAGUAGACCCAUCGGCCUCCCUCUCCGGGUCAACGAACCGCUGACCACAACAGCUGGCCACAGACCCGAUCUCCUCAGCACCGCCACCGGUCUCCUCCUUCAACCGACCACCCACAACUCCCCCUUACAACCUCCGGCCACCUGAAACAGAAGAGGAGGAAACCGAAAUAAUAUGCAGAGAUGAGCAGAUCUGAAAAUGAGAAGGGAGAGAAGCAAAUCUAAACUAAAAAUGGGUUAAAAUCGACUGUUUGUUGGGUUUUCGUGCUUUUGCAGGUGACGGUGGGUGUCACCGUCGGCGAGGAAAGGAAGGAGGAGGGAAGCCGAACCAGAUCCCUCUGUCUCCAGUUACUGGCGGCGGCGGCGCGUGGAGGAGACGCGCCGCCCCUGUUUUCAAAUCCAGAAGCCUGCGAACACUGUUCCCGUGGCUGCAUUGUACCUGAUUCUAGUUUUUAGGGUUUAUUUUUUAAUUUUUAAAUUAAUUAAUGUAAUUUUUAUAUAUUUAUUUUGAAUUUGUAUUUGUAUUGUGGAUGUAAAGGAAAGAAAAGGAAAAGAAACAAAAAUAGUGGAAAGUGUAUGUGUGUGUUUGUAUUUUGUUUGUAUAUUUUUUAAUGAUAAAAUUGCAAAUAUAUUAAAGAAGAAUUUAAUAUUUUGAUCGGAUCACGGUUAAGAAUUAUUAACUUAUACGUAAGUGAUAUUUCUAAUUUCCGAUGAAAAGACAAUUAUUAAAACUUCUUUAACACAUCAAAUUCGCGAAGCAGCUUACCUCAGGUAGGGUGCGUUAGGGGUGCUAAUACCUUCCCUAACCACAACCAGUCCCUUAUCCGCGAAUCUCUGACACGACCAGUACAUCCGGUUUCCUAGUAGCCUUUAAUAAAUUACUAGGUGGCGACUCCCAACGAAUUUAAAGCAAACGCAACAAUGAGCAACAACGAGAAAAAUCACCAACCGAUGCCGCGCGGAUUUUUCGACGUGCGACUUAUACUUUGGGUAAUACAGUUGUAUAUUGGGCUUCGAAGCUACAAAAGAUUGUUGCUCUAUCUAUAAUUGAAGUUGAAUAUGUAGCUGUAACUGAAGCUGGAAAGGAGAUGGUUUGGUUACAAAGCUUCUUGGAUGAAUUAAGCAAGAAGCAUCAUAAAGGCACUAUACAAUGAUAGUCAGAGUGUUGUUUUUCUUGCAAAAAAUCCAGCCUUCUAUUCCAGGACAAAACACAUAUAGUUGAGAUUUCAUUUCAUUCGCUCUAAUGGUCAGUUGACAGUUGAGAAGAUUCGAGGAAGCAAAAAUCCUGCUGAUAUGCUUACAAAAGAGGUAACGAUAGAGAAACUGAAGUUGUGCAAAGCUUCAAUUGGUCUUCAAGGAUAGAAGACAGGUGAGAUGCCUUUUGUCUCUAAGCGGGAGAUUGUUGAUUAAUGGAGAACAAAAGGCACACCCCACCCACUUCUUGUCUAGCUAGCUAGAAGUGGGAUGCCUUUUGUCUUCAAGUGAAAGAUUGUUAAUUUUGGAAUUUCUGGAAUAUAAUAGUUAGCUGGUGGGUUCUUUUAUGAUGCAUACCUCAUUCCAUGGAUGAUUGUUUCAACAAUGGCAGGGAUUGAUUGAUGGAAAGUUUCAGCGUAAGGUGUGGCAAGGAUUUUUCCAUGGAAUAAUCUGGCUUAUUUGGCAUACUAGGAAGAACAUAUUUGAAACUAUCAUUUCAGAUUGGGAAUAUGUUCUGUCUUUUCUUUCACAAGGUUGCAUCUAGGAUUCGUUCUUAUUGUAAUGUUUUCAUAAUACUGGUAUGGAUCUGUUAAGAAAUAGGAAGAGGUUAUAACAAUGUUAGCGGGUGGGCGCCAUCUGCGCCAUUCGGUGGCGUAUGCUACCCCAGAACAAAAUCAAGAGUCUCUUUACAAGGUGUCUUUCGAUGCACCUUGUCACCCCAAGCAUAAUGGUAAGGCACAUAUGCUGAGAAGGUUCAUGAAAGAGCUCCAAAUAGGGUUUUUUUCCUCCCUCCUUUCCUACCCUCUCUCCUUAUGAAAAAUUAUGGUACCCAUUGCAAAAAAAAAAAAGUUAGACAUGAUUAUCAGACCCAAGUAACGUGGGUCUGACAUGUUACCAAGCCCAAGUAAGAGUCGGCCAGUAACGUUUGUCAGACCCAAGCUAGCUUGGGUCAAACACCUUUGAUUAUAAUUAUUGAAUAAUAGGUCUGACAACCACACCACACCCAAAUAGCAUAGUUUUAAGACCCGGCCCGGUCCAAAGCCAUGGGUUCCAGUUUUUGACCAGGUCGGUCGGGUCAAUUUUUUUUUUUAAUUCAAAAUAACAUAGUUUUAGUAAAAAAAAAAAAACAAAGUCAACGGGCUUACAACCGGGUUUUGCCAAGUCAACCGAGUCACCGGGUUAACCCGCCUAGUCAUGCCAAAUUUUUCCUUCCCCUGUUUUUUCUUCAACCUGGCUCGGAUCCAGCCCUGGGGCGGCUGGGUCCCAAGUCGACCCACCGGGCCCUUCAAAACUAUGGACCCAAGCCACUUGGGUUUGACACCAUUACCAGACUUAGGGUCUUUCACUUUGGUAGACCCAAGCGACUAAGGUCUGGCACCUCCUAUGCCAGACCUAAUUACCUCUUCAUCCUUUCAUUUUUUUCAAUUAUCUCUCAUUGGUCAUUAUAGUUUUAAAUUUUAAAACAUCUACUUUAUGUUUUAAAAAAAUUUCAAUUUGAAAAAUAGCUAAGUUUUUACUAAUCCGAUUAGAGAACUUAUUCUUAGCUUUAUUGGGGUGACAAUCUUUUAUCAUAGUCAUGAAACCUUGGAUCAUUAGAUUAUCAGGUGUUCAUGUUAUUUUUUUUUAUUAAAAUAAUAUUUUCUUUCUUUUCAAUAAAACCAACCCAAACCCAAAUACCCUAGGUUUGAUAACCAUGCUAGACCUAAGAUAGUUGGGUCUAGAAAACAAGUCAGAUCCAAGUGACUUGGGUCUAGCAAGCACGUCAGGCCCAAUCAUCUUGGGUUUGAUAUGUAAUGUGAGUCUGACAUUAUUGCUAGGCCCAUAUAAACAUGAAUAACCCUCAUGAUUAUAGAAAAUUACACCAAAAACAAUUUGAAAGAAUAAAAAUACUCACAUAUGCAAAGCUUAUUUUUUAUUUUUUCAAGGUUAAAAAUAUAUUUUAACUAUUUAAUAUUGACUUGGGUCUGACAUGGUUUCUAGACCCAAGUAUCUUGGGUUUGCAACAUUGGGUUUGCCCAGACCUAAGUGCCAGACCCCUACGCCAUACCCAAUUACCUCUUCAUUCUUUUGUUUUCUUUGAUUAUCUAUCUUUGGUUAAGUCUAGCAAUAGUGUUAGACCCAAGCAACUUGGAUCCAGUAAGCCGAAAGCGACUUCGGUCUGCCACCCAUGCCAAACCUAAGUAUCUUGGGUCUGGCAAGUUAUGGCAGACCUAAGCGUCUUGAGUCUCGCAGUCAUGCAAGAUCCAAGGUCCUUGGGUCUAGGGUGGCUGCCAAACCUUAAGUAUUUGGGCCUGACACCCACAUCUGAUCCAAGUUACUUGGAAAAUACUCCAACUUGCAGUGGAGCAUGGGCAAAUAUGCUAGUCUUAAACUAAAAAAGAGAUGGAAGGAACUUAACUGAAUGAUGUAAACAUAAAAGCUUUGGCAAGUGUUUUUUUUUUUUUUUUUUUUUAUGAAAUCAAAGUUAUUUGUGAAGAAAUGAAAUUAAAACAAGAAAGACGCGAGGAAGAUUUACUAGCAAAAACAUGACAGCAUAAAGUCCCAUAUCUAACAAUUAUUUUCUUUGGCAAUCUUCUAAUUAGUGUUAAUAUUGCUGUAAACAUGAAAACAAAAACGACUACAUGCUAGAUGUUAAUGAUGUUAGAUGAUCAAUGAAUAAUUUUGUGCAUCUAGGAAAGAAAACGAUUACAUGCUACACGAUAAUAUUGUUAGAUGGCCAAUGAAUAAUUUUUAUUGUUAUACUCUCAGCACGACAUAUUUCUACCUUACCUGUGGAGACAAAACUGACAGGCUUACUGAGGUCUACUUUUCUUCUCCUUCGCGAGGAUGAAUCGUUUUCUUCAUCUUUGGAUUGCUUACGUUUUUCCUUCUGCAUUCUAAAAUAGAAGAAAGUUGUCAAUGAUAUGUAUGAACGUAAAGCUUUCAAAUUAUUGUUUUGAGUAGAGGCAUGAAAUUGAAACAAGAAAGAAGCAAAAGAAGAGGUUAGUUAUACCUCUGUAUAACGAAAGGGUUGGUUGGAUUCCACCAGCUAUGAAAUUGUAGCGAUCUGAGAGAGAUGUUAGCUGAUCAAUACGGGCUUCUAAAAGUAACAAUUAUUUUCUCUGGCAAUCUUCUUAGUGUCAAUAUUGCUGUCAUGCAAAAACUAAUAUUGCUGAGAAGAAGAAAACAAAGAAAACUACAUGCAUGCAAUCUGUAGCAACAAUCUCACUGUUUACCUCUUUACGGUGUUUAUGAGGUGGUCAGAUUCCACCAACUUGAUGACUUUAAAGAUCAAAUUGCAGCAAUCGGAAAGGUUAGCUGAUCAAGAGUAAAGUACUGAAGCCUGAAGACUAGUACAGCCAAUAUUGUUACAGAGACAGAAUAUGAGUUCUUGCAAAUUAUUAGUAAUGCAAUUUCUUUAUAGCUCUUGCUUGAGCAUCUAAAAGUUUUCUUGAGAACCAAAGCAGUGUAAAAGCAGGUCUCUUUUGUCAACCGGGUUGUUGGGGAGGUUUUGACAGCAUCAGAGUCAAAUGGCACGAUUUUCCACACGGCAAAUUAAUAAGAUCAUUAUCCAAAGCGUUCGGCUGUCUCCAUCUCUCAGCCGUGAUCAAAUGGUAUAAAUUUCCGCGAACCUUUUUUCAAAGCCUGGGAGCUUUUCUCCCAAGGAAGACUUUGACUGGGCUUCAACUGAACCUUCUGUUUUUACUUUUGAUUAAGAAGUUAGACUUCCCAAUUAACACGAUUUUCUACACGGCAAAAAAAUAUGUCUCUUCUAGCAUUUAAUAUUUAUUUUCACGUAUAUUUGUGAUGUGAUGAAAGAAAACAUACAUCAAAUCAUAGUUUUAAGAUCCGGCAUGGUAAUUGGCCCGGUUUAAGAUCCGGAUUUUAAGUUUUGAUCAAGUCAUCGAGUCGGUCGGGUCAAUUUUUUUUAAAAAAAUAAAAAGUCAUUUAAAAAAAAAAAAGUCAACAUAUUUGCAGCUGGGUCUUGCCGGGUCACCGUGUCACAUCGAGUUUUUUUUUAUUAUUUUUUUUUCAACCCGGCCUAGUUUCAGCCCCGGGUCGGUCGGGUCCCGGGUUGAUCCGUCGGGCCGGGCCAGAUUUCAAAACUAUGCAUAAAAUGAUAAAAACCAAUUUUCCGAAUAUUCUCAUUAUAUAUAUCCAUCAAGUGUACGAUUAUUAAAUAAAAACCUACUUCAAAUUGACCAAACAUUAAUAUUUGUUAAACCAUUUAAGAACUCAUCGUCGUGGUUACAUUUAACAUUCUCUCACUUGACUUGAGUAAUAUUAUCUUUAUUCAUGGUUUAUUAAAUAUAUUAAUAUAAAACCCAUAGAACAAUGCUAACAUAACAUCAAUCACACCAUAUUAUAAUUAAGUAAGAUAACUAAUAUAAAUCAUGAUAGUUCUACAUCAUCAAUUGAACAUAAUUCCUUCUACAUGCUAUAAUAUUAGUCUUUACUUAACAUAAUUUCUAAAUAAGAAACAUAUAAUUGUUCCAACAAUAAGAUUUUUAAUCAAGACAAUUCAUGUUAUCAAUAAUGAUGUAUGUCAUAACUCAAUUUUUUUCUCUUUUAUUUUUAUUUUUACUAUAUUUUCUAUAAAAAUGAUGAAAAAAAUGAAAAAUAAUAAAAACAAAUGUUGAAAAAAUGAAAAACAAAAUGCAAAAAUGAUGAUGAAAUACAAAUAAAAAUGAAAUGAAUGAAGAAUAAAUUAAAAUCUAGGUUAAUUCAAUAUAAUUGGAAGUUUGAGGACUUAAUUAAAUUUUGGUUUAGUUUAAUUAACCAAAUCAAGGGCUUAAUUAAUUGCAGAAUUAAUAAGUUUUGGGACUUAAUUGAACUUGUAAUUAGUUUAAUUAAUGGAAUCGGGGGCUUAAUUGACAAAUUACCAAAUUUUGGGACUGAUUUAGGUCACAAUUGCAAGGAAUGAAAAUAGAAGGACCAAAGUGAAAAUAUCGGGUAUUGUAGGGAGCUUAAUUGAUUUUUAUAGGGGUAAAUUUGAAAGAAUUACAAGUUGAAGAGUCAAUUAAGGACUGGAUUGGAAACUUCAGAAACCAAGGACAGGUUCGUACACGGCACAAACAUGCAGUGGUCCAAUUAAUGUUUAUCCAGGGGCUUCAUUACAGAAUGUCAAAACCUAAAGCACCAAAUUGCAAACAUCCGUUCCCAUCCCGAAAACGGCGUCGUUUCAAUAUACAAUAUGGGGAGAAUGGGGGUGAACAAAACAUAACCAGAGGAGAAAAACCCAGAAGUGCACAGGGGACGCAAACAGGGGGGCGAACAGGGGAGGAGCUUUUCCCAGAAAAUAGAAGAACACGCAGGAAAACUAGAGAGAACAGAAAAACCCAGGAACACACAGACAGACAGAGAAGAAAAACUGAAACUUUGUCCAGAGCACGCCAUCACCAUCGUUUCGACCUUGUCUCCCCGCAUCAUGCUUAAUGUGGCUUGCACAAAAAAAAUGUGUUUGGCCUAAAAACAUUCUUAUACCUUAUCUUUUUAUUUUUAUUUUUAUUUUGAUAUCUUACCAAAUGAGUUUCUUUGUGAUAUUAAAAAGUUUUAAAAAUAUUUGUGGACCUUUUGAAUUUAUAAGUAGGUGCUUGUAUUGUUUUCUUAGAUAUUUCACUAUAUAAUUAAUUUAUGAAUUUUUUAAAACUUAUACAUGCAUAGAUUUAAAUCUAUUUUAUUAGUUUAUUCAUUUAUGUCAGAGUUAGAAAUAUUAUAUUAUUAUUUUUGCUAGUGUAUAUCAACAUUAAAGUUAAAAAUAUUUGUAGUGGAGUAUGUCAGGAAUAUUAAAAAUACAUCAUAAGGAUUGUUUUUACUUUUUAUUAAAGUUAAAAAUAUUUGUAGUUGAGCAUAAUCUCAUUCAGGACUUCGUGAACAACACAGGCUGUAAUUGGUAACGUCUAACUUCCUAGUCUGGUGGUCGCAUUGUUUUUACUUUUUAUGAACUGAAUGGUUCCUUGCCUUAAAAUUUGUGUUGCGAAACUGAAAAAUUAAUGAUGUAAGAUAUUAUUUGAAAUAGUUUUAUGAUGCAGUUCUGAAAUUAUCUUCUUGCCUAGUUCAAUGGAAUCCAUAGCAAGUGUCAGCGAAACAGAGGAUGAUAAUGAAAGAGUUGAUGCCUCGGAGGAUGAAACGAAUGACCAUGAGAAUAAAUUCUCCGAUACCUGUGAGUUUCUAUCCUUUGCUUCUUUCGAAAGUAACAAGUCUGAUUUUCAGACAUCAUCGUUCUCUCCAGAUGAUUAAGGAUUUCUUGCACUUGACUCAGAAGCGGGCAAUGAUCACUCUUGCAGCAGAUCGUACUCAGGCUUUAAACGAUCAAGCUAAACAUAAUAAGCCAAUGUUAUCGAUUCCAUGAAGAUAUGCUCUCUAUUCAUGAUAGGGUUCAUCAGCAACUUCUAAUUUCUACUGCUUCGUUUUAUACAUGGAAAUCUGUUCAGAAACUUCCUACAAUUGUUAAGAUAAAAUAUUAAUCGGUUAAAUUAGAUGAAUUGAAUUAUUAUUUUUUUUUUUACUUUUUUUUAGGGCAAACAUAAAAAAAAAGGCCUCCAACUAUAUAAUUACCGGUUUCAUCCAUUCUUCAGAUUUUCCAUCCAUAUUUCCAUCCAAUUCUGUUUUUUCUCUAAGAAACAAUGCCAUUUUACACUUUCCAUUGAGUGAUUUAAACAAAAGUCCUUACUUAAAAAAUCAAAAUAGAUUUAAACAAGAGACUGUUUGGAUGCAAAAUUUGAUACUACCUCACAGACGUAUCCGAUUCUAGUUUUACUUUUUCUUUCAUUUUUCUUGUCAGAUUAUUUUAUUUAGGAUUUUCUUAUGCUUAUUCUGUUUUAUGGCAGAAGUUUCACGCUCUUUAUCAGGUCAAACAACAAUGUUCUCUACGUUCCAUUGGAGCAGAGCACAAAUAAGAACAAAUAAUGCAAGAACCAUUUCCGAUUGCAACCCAAAAACACUACCAUCAAAUUACACAAGCUUUAUUAGCAAGGUGCAUUUUUCAAGUACCUCUAACUUCCAAUACAAGAUGCAUUGCUUACAAAUCAUAUACCAGUACUGCGAAAUGCAAUACGUUAACACAGCGUCACUUCUGGCAAAGAAAUUGGAACGAAUGGAAGAAUCUUGAUCGUAUCUGUACUUUUGUGGACAUUUCAAUCCACUUAUCAUCUUGUUAGUGCGGCGGAACCAUCUCUCUGUUGAGUAUAGAAUGAUAGAAGAAUUGUUGAGUUGGUAGAAGAAUGAUAGAAGAAUUGUUGAGUAUAGAAUGAUAGAAGAACUGUAUGAUCAUGCUGGUGAUGGUAUUCGAGCUGCUUAGGGUCUCAAGUUUAAUUAAAACAGGGCAAUGUCCCAAUCAAAAAAGCUGAAAUUAAUGAACUUCUGUUAACCUUUGUUAUUUCAUGUUUUAUAAUGCCAUUAUCGUCGUUUUGCAAAGGAACACAGGUCUGAAAGAAGAUAAAUUCAAGAAAAACAGAAACAAAACUACUUUGGACGAGCAAGGUUACAAACUACUUUGAAAUCUUUCAGAUAAAUUGUGACUAAUCCAAAGUUAAGGGCAGAUGCAGAGAAAGGAAUUAAAACAUGCUCACCAAGACGGUGGUAGUGAAACAUAGUGGGGUCCCAAAACCACAAAGUGUAAAAAGACAUCCUUAGCAUUAGGAUGCUUCCACUCUUCCACUGAUUCCCACCAUUUUUUUUUUGUUUUACAUGGAUUUUUUCAAAAGAAGGAGGAGAUGGCUAGUCAUUGUCAAGCAACUGAAGACAAAUUAGCAUGUUGGAGAGAAUCGCAAAUCAGUUUUGCACUACAGAUGCUUUCAAGUUCAGGCAAAUAUCCAUAACAAGCAAAGCGAUUCAGACCAGAAAUCAUACCACCAGAUGGCAAUGGUGAUGAAGCUCAACAAGACCAAGAAGAUGAAAGCAAGCUCUCCAUGCUAUCACAGUCCUUAAUGGUGAUCAUGACUUCAUGUUCUGUUGCAUACUUCAAUGAUGAAACUUCGCAUAAACCUGAAAAUCUCCACUGCUGAUUCCGAAGUCAUUCAAACCUGAGUGUUUAAAUUUACUUGUGUGAAAAUUUGUAUUCAUAUUCGUUCCACAAUCGAACACAAAUUUUGCCCAGUGCUUGAGAUUUGAGAAACGCUGCGAAGUCAGAGACUUGUUUAAAAUGGUAUUCCAAAGUUUCCGACUUCCUCGGGCAAGCUGCUUCUGUUCCUAUAAUUAUAACUGGAGGACGUAAUAAGAAUCCAGGACUAUCUAUCUUUCCUUUAUUUUCUCUUUUAUAUUUGCAUGUUCUACUUUGAAAAAAUAAUUUAUUACUAGUUGGCGAUUUAAGGUGACUUACUGAAUAGAUCUAUUCUUUUAUAAGGUUACUUUAAUGAUAAAUAAAUAUAAUGUUUUUUUAGAUGUUCAUCGUGGAGAAAUUUGAUGGGAUGGAUAUAUAUAAUGUUAAAUUUUAAUUACAAAAAAAAAAUUGAAAAACAUUAUUUGUGCUCAUUAUAAACUGACAAUAUAAAUAAAGAAAAUUUCAUUUGAACCAAUCUGGAUGUUUGAUGUAGGCGGAAUUUAAAAAAGGUGUACGUGUUUUUUCAUAGGCUAGGAAAAUCAACCUAGACAAUGAAACAAAAUCAGAAUCCUAACACAGAAAAUUAACAAUGAAUUCAAAAAUAAACAAUAAUUCCAAAAAAUAUCUAGAAAAAAUAAUAAAAUUAGUGUAAACAGUAAUCUCCAUUAAUCUCCUUCAUUUUCUCACAUUCUCUGACUGUAAACUUCAUUUGAAGAGAUGACAAGAAAAAAUAUCCAUCUCUAUUGAUAUUCAAAUUACCCAAAACAACCAUUUUACUUUCCACAGACCACUGUACUUGAAUUCCCAAAGUUUAUCUUCCCUGAACUGUCCUACCACAGUCAUCCAAAGGUAAUAUCAACAGGAUUAGCCUACCAGAUUAUGGAGGGCUAAUGUUAUCAACAGGAAGAUGUUGAUAUCAACAUUAAAUGAAGGCUAAUAAUAUCAACGAGAUAAUGGAAGCUAGAAAUACGAAGAAGGCUAUAUUAAUAUAAGGCCAUGUUUGUUUUUUGGAAAGUAGUUUCCGGAAAAUCAUUUUCCAAACUUUUCUGUGUUUGUUUGCAAUUAGAAAAGUUGGUUAACAAAAAACACUUUUCAGUCAACGGAAAAUUUGGCUUGGUUUUCAGGAAAAUGUUUUUCCUUUUAGUUGUGUUUGUUUUCCGGAAAGUAGUUUCCAGGAAAUUAUUUUCCAAACUUUCUUGUGUUUGUUUGCCAUUAGGAAAGUUGGUCAACAGAAAACACUUUCCAGUCAAAGGAAAAUUUGAUUUGGUUUUCAGAAAAGUGUUUUCCUAGAAAAUUUGGGCGGAAAACACUUUCCGAAAGUUGUGAAAAUUUUAGAAAUAUUAUUAUUUGUUGAUUAUAUCAAAUUUGAUCCUCAAACUUUUGAUUUCUAUAUAUAUUUUGUUUUAAAUAUUUAUUUUUCAAUUUCAUCUCUUAAAAUUUAAUUUUUAUAUUAACUUUGGUCCUUGUUUUUAUAAUUGCUAUUUGUCUUUUCCUUAUCAUUUUUUUUUUGAAAUUUUUUUAUCUAUCAAAUUUGGUUCUCAUUCUUUUGAUUGUUACUUAUUUUAUUUGAAAUAAUUUAUGAAAUGUUGAUUAUUAUUAUUUUAAUUUCUUCAUCUUUUAUUAUUUUUAAUUUUUUAGAUUUGAUCUCUAUUAUUUUGAUUAUUAUUUAUUUUAUUUGAGAUAAUUUAUGAAAUUAUAUUUUUUUUUUUCAAUUUCAUUCUCAUUCAACUUUUUAGUUUGUAAGAUUUGUUCCUCAUUAUUUUAAUAAACUUGAGAAAAAUAAAAUAUUAAUAAGUUAUUUUUCAGCUCAUUUUUCAUGACAUAACCAAACACUAGAAAAUAUUUUUCAACUUAUUUUCCAUUACACUACCAAAUAUCAAAAAAUACUUUCUCGAUUCACUUUCCCCGGAAUCCACUUUCCAAAACAAAUUACUUUCCAGCAAACAAACGGACCUAAAUACUUUUACAAUUUGAUUAGCCUUAUCAAGUUAUAAAAUCUAAUAAUAUUGGUUGUAUUAUAUCGAUAUUAUCAAAAUAUUAGAAGUCAUAUUAUAUUUGGUAUUAAUAUAAUUUUAAAAUAAACGAGUACUAAUAUCAGUACGGUUGUAUUAUAUCGGCAUUAUCAAAAUAAAUGAGUAAUAAUAUCAACAAGAUUAUGUUAAUACCAACAUUAAAUAAAGAUUUGGAUUUUAAAGGCUAAUAACAUCAACAAGAUUAUGAUAACAUCAGCAUUACUAAGUGACAUGUUUUCUUCCGAGAUAAUGAAAGUUAGAAAUAUUAACAAGGUUAUGUUAAUAUAAAUAUUUUUAUAAGUUGAUUAGCCUUAUCAAGUUAUUAGUACUGAUGGAAUUAAUUUGAUUGAAAAUAAGGAUUUUUUUAUUACAGGAAUUAAUGCAUGGCUAAUUAAAGAUAAAUUAAAAUGAUUCCAGGAAAUCACUUUCCAAACUUUCAUGUGUUUGUUUGUUAUUUUGGUCAAUGGAAAACACUUUCCGGUCAACAAAAAAUUUGGCUUGGUUUCCAGAAAAGUGUUUUCCUUUUAUUUUGGACGGAAAACAUGUUCUAGAAGUUGUGAAAAAAAUUAGAAAUGUCAUAUUAUUUGCUGAUUAUAUCAAAUUUGGUCCUCAAACUUUUGAUUGUUAUAUAUAUUUUGUUUUGAUUUAUUUUUAUAUUAACUUUGAUCCUUAUUUUUGUAAUUGUUAUUUGAUUUUUCCUUAUCAUUUUUUAAUUAAAGUUUUUUAUCUAUCAAAUUUGGUCCUCAUUCUUUUGAUUGAUACUAUUUUAUUUGAAAUAAUUUAUGAAAUGUUAAUUAUUAUUAUUUUAAUUUCUUCAUCUUUCAAUUUUUUUUUAUUUUUUAGAUUUGAUCUCUAUUAUUUUGAUUAUUAUUUAUUUUAUUUGAGAUAAUUUAUGAAAUUAUAUUUUUUUUUCAAUUUUAUUCUCAUUCAACUUUUUAAUUUUUAAGAUUUGUUCCUCGUUAUUUUAAUAAAUUUGAGAAAAAUAAAAUAUUAAUAAGUUAUUUUCCAACUCAUUUUCCAUGACAUAACUUAAUUAUUAUUAUUUUAAUUUCUUUAUCUUUCAAUUUUUUUUAUUUUUUAGAUUUGAUCUUUAUUAUUUUGAUUAUUAUUUAUUUUAUUUGAGAUAAUUUAUGAAAUUAUAUUUUUUUCAAUUUUAUUCUCAUUCAACUUUUUAAUUUGUAUGAUUUAUUCCUCGUUAUUUUCAUAAAUUUGAGAAAAAUAAAAUAUUAAUAAGUUAUUUUUUAGCUUAUUUUCCAUGACAUAACCAAACACUGGAAAAUGUUUUCCAACUUAUUUUCUAUUACACUAUCAAACAUUGGAAAAUACUUUCUCGGAAUUCACUUUCCAAAAAAAAACUACUUUCCAGCAAACAAACGGGGCCAUAAUGUCACAACCAAAAAGAGGGACUUGGUGGUAAUUGUCUAAUGAAUGCAAUUCUAUAUAUAUAUAAUUAUAUAAAUAUGAAUCCACGGGUAAAGGUAUUAACAUAUGUUGUUAUUGUGUUCUGCAUUGAAUUGUUAGAAUUUAGAUUGGAUUAUAUUUAUUUUGAACUAUGAUAGCUUGAAAUAUUGUAAAUACAUAGAAAACUCUACUAAAAUUUUGAGCCUAAAGUAUACCAAGUCGACACAAUUAACAAAAUUACAAAAAAAGGCCUAAAGCUCACAAGUCACUUAAUGUAUACAAAGACACAAUUUAUUGUAGAUUAUAACAAUAAAAUAAUUAUUUCACCCUUCUAAAAACACCAACAGCCUUCAUAUAAAAAAGGACUUGGUAGUAAUUUUGCAAACAUACACACACAACUUCAGAUAAAAAGGACUUGUAAAGCUGCUUCUUGAACGUCUUCAGGCAUUUUACUACAAAUUGCAACACCACGCCCUCUCACUUGAGACAAAUGCCAUUUGAUCCUCGAAACGGAAUUAGCAGACCAGAUCGACAAAUGUCCAUAUUCGCCAUACCCAAUUCCCAAGGUGGAUAACUCUGCAUAACCAUUUCCAAACGCCUAAACUUAAUUCGAUAUUUUAUUAUAUUUAUAUAAUCAGAGUAUAAAACCAGUAAGCACCUAAACUUAAUUCGAUAUUAUAUUAUAUUAUAUUAUAUUAUAUUAAGGGCAGACUCAUAUCAUACCAGGAACUUUACAAAGGGACGAAGGACAUCCUUAGCCUUAGGAUGCUCCCACUCCACUACUGACUCCCACCAUUCUUCUGGAUAUACCAUGAUGUCUCUAAGAGAUGGGGGAGGAGAUGGCUGGCCAUUUAAUUCAAGCAACGGAAGACAAAUUCCCAUCCUCUUUAGCUUCUCACAUUUUGUUAUAAAAAUGAGUUCGAGAGAAUUGCAAAUCAAUUUUGCACAACAAAUGCUUCUUGUUGGUAAUAAUAGCACAUUACACUCUGGAGAUAAUCACGGCAGCAAUCAAUGAGAAAAUCACUCCAAGCAUCAAGGAUCAAUCCAUGGAAAUCAAGACGUUAUGAGGAGCUGAUUUUCUGUAUAUAUAGAAUCUUAAAUAGCUUUCCUUGUAGAGCUGAUACUGUUGUUAUUAUUAGAUUAUAUUCGAUAUUGUCAUUAUUAUUAGGUUGUAAUAAUCUUCUAUAUAAUGCAACAUUCUGCACCAUAAGCAAUUGCUGUGGUUUCCAUUAUCAUCUCUAAAACUCUUCAUGGUAUCAGAGCCUCUAUAGGAUUAAUCUCCACUUGAUCUUAUGGCCUCAGAAAAUUCUUCCAUACUCUCCUUCUGUAACAACCCCGAUUUUCGCGAUACAUUGGAAAUUUUCAGGUAAAUUUUUUUAUAUAUAUACGGGUUCCACCAAAUUUCUACUAAAAUUUCGGCAGAGUCUCCUCUAUAAUAGGAGGUCCCAAGUUAUCGACAAAACCAUAUUACACUUCCAAUUUUAAUUCACAUCCUGAUCCAAUCAUCCUGGAUCUCAACCCAACUCAACAUCAUCAACACAGCACAUGUUAUUCAAUAACGUCAUAUAAUGUAAUUCAAGUUAAAGAUUCGAUUUCCAACUCUAAACAUGCAUGGUUAAAUAGGUACUUAAAGUUACAAACAUUAAAUUAAAGUCAUGCAUUCAAAUUUACAAAUUAAUAUUACAUUUCAAGUUUUAGGAUAUAAGACUCUUAAUUUACAAAUAAUUACAUGGUCAAAAGCAAAAGGUAACUAAACCAGUAUCAUUCCGGACGCGACCUUGAUAGACCUGAAAAUACAAAUUAACGUGUACACAUAAAUAUAAAAAGGUAGUAACAAACAAUAACAAUGAUAGGUAAUAAUCUUCACUUUUGAGACAUAAGAUUAGGUAUAAACCUCUUUUACAACAUGCAUUUUCAAUCUAUUACCAAUAUCCAUCUAAUAUCCUUUCCCAUUUGUUGAGAAUAAUUUCAUCUUGGAAAUCUCAACACAACUUAAUGAUUUUCAAACACCAUCUCCUUAUAAAUCAAUCCUCUCUUUAUACCAAGACAUUUUUCUCUUGAUAUCAUUAGCUUAUCUCAUUCCUUUGGAAUAACUAAUUACUAUUUUCCCUUUUAUUUUCUAGAAAGUAAUCGCUGACACUAAUAAAUCUCAUUAGUACAUUAGUCUUUUAAUAUUGGGAUAGACUAAUCACUUACAUUCACGUACCGAUAUUAACACAACCGAUUAGUAUCAUUAACUAUUCUUUUCUGGAGUAUCAAAUCUUAUUCAUAUCUGAUUUACCAUCAAAGUUGUCGAUGUCAAGAACCCUUGACACUGUCAGCCUCCUUACCUGGAGUAGCUAAUCACACCAGAAAUGGUUGUCGAUACCAAUGUAACCCAUUGAUAUCAUUAACUAUUCUCGACCCAGAAUAGUUAAUAAACCUAUCUUUUUCACUGAACUAGGAGUAACCAUGUCGAUGUUAGUAAUCUUUACUAACAUCAUUAGUCACCCAAUUGCUCGGGAUCGACUAAUCAAUUUUAGAAAUGCCGGCACCAAUGAAACCUCAUUGAUACCAUUAGCAAUCCAAACCCGAAUUGCUAAUCAAUGUUGUCUGAAAUGCCGAUACCAAUGAAACCUCAUUGAUACCAUUAACUAUCCAAACUCGGAUAGCUAAUCAAUGUCACUUGAAAUUUCCAUUCGUAUCAAUCCCCCUUUUUUUCUUUUCUUCUUCUUUUUGUUUUGUUCUUUUUUUCUUUUAACAUCAUAUGCAUUAUAAUAACUGUUGCUAAGCAUCAUUCCCACACAAACUUAGUUAUCAACACUACGACCAUAGUGACAUAAUUAAUUCGAUACAUAACAACACACGCAAGUCACUCCUAUUCGUUCAAACAUUAUCCUAACCAAUAGAGGUAUACUGUUGCACAUAAGGUACUCUUACUCAUUUCAAUAUCAUCGAAGAAAUAAAACAAUAAAUUCUAAAAUUUACCAAUAAGUUUACUCAACUUAAAAAGACAAGGUGCGAUACACGUGCUUCCUUCACAUAAAUUAUUUAAACACAACGCAUCAUCAGUACACAUAUAUAAAUCGAGCAUCAAUAACUUAAUCAUAAUAUACCAUUAAUUUAUCACCCUAAAGUCGGUACACUUCAUUUUUGUUAUUAUAUAUCUAACUCAGCAGUCAGUACAGUAGUGCCACUAACUCUAUUCAAACCAGCUAGUCCACUAUAUUUUCCUUGACAUAAACAUUCACAAUUACACAAGCACAAGUACAUUUAUAGAAAAUACCAUUUAUUUAACUCUAACAAGUAUUGUAAAAACAAAAGUUUGAGGUGUAAGACACCUACCUCAUGCUUUAACUCGCGCAAAAGUCCCAUGCUACUGAACAGAUUCUACAAUCUCUCCUUUAUCAUUAAAGAUACAUAUCAAAUGUGGCUCCACCAUAAUUGAAAAUUCCAUUCUAAAAUUCAUUUAAAUUUAGAAUCACAUGACACAUGCAUUCGCAUAUUUAUUUAUUUAUUUCCUUUCUUUUCAUGACUUGUUUUUCCAGGCUGAAUAUCUUUAAACAUGACCUAACAAUCUUAAUUUAUUUUAUUUUAUUUUAUUUUUGUCUACACAAUCCAUCAUGUACAGACUUAGUAACAUCACACCCUUGCAUUUAUUCAUACCAUUGAAACUAAUUCAUUUUCCUUAUCAAACCAACUCUUGGCCGAAUGACCUUAUUUUUUAUUUAUUUAUUUUCAUGAUGAGUUUUUCAAUUCUUUUUCAUAAGUCCACUUUACUUCAUCUUAAGUAAAUUUAACAACAUAUUUUCAUCAUAAUUCCAUGUACGCCUUAAUUUAACCUUUUCCUCCCCUUUUAUUAUCCAUUUGGACAACGUUAAAAUUCCAUAAAAUGAAAUUUUCCUCACAUUAAUCUAUUAUUUCAAACAUAACACAAUUCAUUUGGCAUUCAACAAACCACAAUCCCAUAAAAAUCCCCAUAACUUUAGGUCAAAUAAACUCAAGUUCAAGAUUUCCAUUUUUGGUUGGAUUCCAUAUUAUGAUGAGAAUUUGUAUCUUUUUAAAAUUCUUCCAAUGACACUCUACCUAAUUUUCUUUAUACAAAUAUAUGCAUCCAUACCUAAUUUUCAUAGAAAAUGAAUCAAAGUCUUAUCUCCUUAUUUCUUCUUCAUUUGGCCGAAUGCCUUUAUUCAUGAUGAGGGAUGAUUCCCUUUUUAAUUAUUCCAGAUAAACGUUUACCAAUUCAUUUCAUAUCUAUUCUAACCUCAUUCAACUCAAAUUCCAUAGCAAUUAAAACAAUUAAGCUCAUCCUCUCAUUUAUAUGUGUAGGCCAAAUCUUUGCAUUAAAUAGAGGAUAAAGUUUUCUUCAAGUUUUCUUUCAAUUACCACUAGACCCAAUCCUUUUUAAUGCCUAAAAACAUAUCCAUUAAAUCAACAAACUCAAUGUCCCUUCAUCCAAAUUUCAAAACUUCCCUAACACAUUUUACAACACAAUUAAUCUAUAACAACACUAAUAACAAGAACACAUUUUACCAUUACAUCUUACAUAAACUCUACACCCACACAAUUCUAAUUUCAUCAAAACAUGUAAUUAAAUCAAGCUUCCUAAAUGUUUUACUAAGACUAGCAAUAGAUUCAAAUAGCAACAACUCAUCCACCUUUGAUUAUUUCCUUGAACCCAACGGUCAGAAUAUAUAUCAUUGUGUUGUGUACAAUAUAUCUCAAAAUCAGAAUAAUCCAACGGUUGGAUCUCCAUAGAUCUGAAUAAAACCGAACUAACCUGAAAAUGGACGAGCUACUGUUCAACACCAAACAAACCUUGCCAGAGAGUGAGUUUCCGAUCUCCACCUUCCAGAAUGAAUGCCACAUCUAGGCGCACGACAUAUCCAAAAAUAGGCACGAUCCAACGGUGGAAGAGAGAGAAAUCGGCCGACGACCAAAACUGCCCUGCAGGUAUAUUCCCUUUUGUUUUCCAGGACCCUUCCGAUGAUGAUUGCUGCUCAAUGGAUUAUGUUCCUUCAAAGCCCUCCGGUCAGUUAAUAGAGGAGUGUGAGAAGAACAAUAUAUCCAAAAAUCAACAUGAUCCAACGGUGGAUUCCAGAGAUAUGGCCACCGAAGCAUUAUGGGUUCAUCCAAAUCCUGCACCUCUCUCUAACCGAAUUCUCUAUUGUCUCUCACCCUUUUUCGUUUUUCUUUCUCUUUUUUUUUUCUUAUUUAAUCUGGUGGCCUUUUGCUGUUUUUAAAGGCACCAUUGUUUUCCUAAUUACAUUUAUGUCCCUCAUUUAUGUAUUUAUAUAUUAUUUCUUUUCUCUCUCUUUUUUUUUUUUUUUCAUGGAAACCAUCCGGAUUGUUUCUGUUUAAAUCGUUAGUCUUUACCAAACUCCUAUUGGGAUAAUAUCUUUCACCAAUGUAGGAAAACAUAUUAAUAGACUUCAUGCAAAAUUUCAUCCCAAUCUGACGAUUGGCUUGAGAGCUCUGCUUUCUAAUGUAAAAUUGGUCAGUUUAUGACUUUUCAUCAACUAUCCAAAUUUUCUUGUUCAAUCUUCACAUAAAAUAAUAUCAAUUAUCCUUCUAAACCUUUAAGGUCAUUUUAUUAUUUUGGAAUAUAUUCAUUUUGUCAUUUCUCUCAUUAUUUUAUUCAUCAAAACACGUUACCAGUUUCUCUAUCUUUAUGAAUUCUAAAACAAAAUUCAUUUUAUGGAGGUCAUCCCCUCCAUUAUAUAUCACUUUCAGUCUUACGUUUACAUGGCAGGUUAUACAUCCGCAUAUUUAAAUCAUAAAUUUUCUAGGGUUUCACACCUUCAAUACCAUGGUUCAUAUGAUAACAGUGAAGUUAUCAUCAACAAACUUUCUUCUUUGGCGCAGUCAAGUAGUUCCCCUGCUGCAAUGUCAAAAAUACUAUGGCUAUAUUGAUGGCUCAACUCUUAUACCUUCCGCUACCACUGAUUCCACAGCCUACAAUCUUUGGAAACAAAAUGAUCAGCUAGUCAUGAGUCUUCUUCUUUCUUCUCUCAUAGAAGAAGCACUUUCUAUUACUCUUGGAUUUACAACAUCAAGAGACAUUUGGAAUGCUCUUGAGACUGCCUUCAGUCAUAUAUCUAAGGCUCGUGAACUUCAAAUAAAAGAUGAGCUUCAUCUUAUGAAGCGUGGCUCCCGCAGUAUCUCUGAGUACUCUAGAGUAUUCAAGGCUCAUUGUGAUCAAUUAUCAGCAAUGGGAUGUCCAGUUGAAGACACUGACAAAGUGCACUGGUAUUUGCGUGGUCUAGGCCACGAGUUCUCAAGUUUCUCCACCACUCAACUCUCUUUAACUCCCAUUCCAAGGUUCAAAGAUAUUGUUCCUAAAGCAGAAAGCUUUGAUCUUUUCUCCAAAUCUAUUGAUUAUACUGCAGGUGGCCCCUCUGCUUAUAUAGUUCAUUCCUCUGCAUCCUCCAACCGAUAUGCAAGGUCAUAUAAUAAUCAGAACAGGUAUAAAGGAAGUCACUCAAAAGGAGGAAAUCGUGGGAAGCAGCAGUAUAGGAGGCCUCCUCGAUGUCAAAUAUGUCGUGAAGAGGGUCAUUAUGCCACAAACUGCAAAAUCAGAUACACAAAAUCUGAUGCAAAUAUUGCUGAAGCACUUGCAACCUGCACUAUUAGCAAUGACACAGCAGAUUGGUAUGCUAAUACAGGAGCAUCUGCACAUAUGACUCCUGAUGUGUCUCAGCUUGAUAAAAUGGAACCUUACACUGGUAAGGAUAGAGUUAUUGUUGGUAAUGGAUCUUCUCUACCCGUUACACACAUGGGUUCCUGUUCUCCUACUCCAACUCUUCAAUUAAAAGAUGUCCUUGUUGUGCCAAACUUAACCAAAAAUUUGCUUUCUGUCAGUAAAUUAACCAAUGAUUUUCCUUUUGCUAUUCUUUUUACUGACAAUAAAUUCAUAAUACAGAAUCUUCAAACUCAAAAGGUGGUGGCAAGCGGUGAUCGUGUAGAUGAACUUUAUGUACUGAAGCGUGGACACCAUGUUUUCUCUGCUGUCAUCAACAAACACAAUUUAUGCAAUUCCUUUGACAUUUGGCAUGCCCGUUUAGGCCAUGUAUCCUCUUAAAUAAUUUCAAUGCUUAAUAAGAAAGGUUUUUUAUCUCUUACCUCCAUACUGCCAAAUCCAUCCUUGUGUGUCAGUUGCCAAAAAGCUAAAAGCCAUAAACUAUCUUUUCCCUUAAGUGAUAGUCGUUCUCCAACAAUUUUAGGAUUAAUACAUUGUGACUUAUGGGGACCAGCACCAAUACAAUCAAUCUCUGGCUAUCGAUAUUACGUUAUUUUUAUCGAUGACAAGUCUCGCUUCACUUGGUUCUAUCCAUUAAAGAACAAAACUGAUUUUUAUCACACAUUCAUCAAGUUUCAAACACUUGUUGAAAAUCAAUUCUCAGCAAAGAUAAAAACAUUCCAAAGUGAUGGGGGAGGAGAAUUCACAAGUAACAUUUUUCAAUCUCACUUAGACAAAUAUGGUAUUCACCAUCAACGUUCUUGUCCCUAUACACCCUCUCAAAAUGGUAGAGCCGAGAGAAAGCAUCGACAUAUCACUGAGACAGGCCUUACAAUGCUCUUUCAUGCACAUGUUCCUCUUAAUUUUUAGGUGGAAGCCUUCAGUACAACAGUUUUUACAAUCAAUCGCUUGCCCACACCUGUCUUGAAUGGAGUUUCUCCAUUUGAAAUUCUGUAUGGUAAGUCCCCUACCUAUGAAUUAUUUCGUAUUUUUGGCUGCUUAUGCUUUCCAUACUUAAGAGAUUAUACUAAACAUAAAUUUGAGCCCAGAAGCCUUCCAUGUAUUUUUCUUGGUUACAAUUCAUCUUAUAAAGGAUUUCGAUGCUUAGAUCCCCAAUCACAUCGAGUCUUUAUCACUCGACAUGCUCGGUUUGAUGAAACAGUCUUUCCAUCAUCUUCAUCUCAUAUGCAGCUUUCCCCUGCACUGUCAGAUUAUAUCUCUUUUCAUGAUCCCAGUUCCUCAACUUCUCCUUUGUCUAACACUUAUUCUUCUGCAGGUUCUCGGUCCUUACCAUCAAUUACUUCUUCUAUACCAUGUAAAUCAUGUGCUUUGGAGCUGCCUCAGAGUCCACCAAUUUUGCUACCACCUGCGUCUCCUACAAUAGUUGAGAGAGUUUCAGAAUUACCUGUUGUGACUACUUCCAGAAUUGAGCCUACUUCAGAUAUACCUAUUGCACCGGCUCAACAUUCUUCUUCAAAUCUGAACUCUCAUCCCAUGAUAACUCAUGGAAAAGCUGGUAUCUCCAAAUCCAAACAUUAUAAUUAUGUUUGUCAAAUUCCUACCUCUCUUUUAUUAUCAUCACUAUUAGUUAUGAAGGAACCAAAAGGAUUCAAAAGUGCUGCUAAAUCACCCGAAUGGCUAGCUGCAAUGGAUGAUGAAAUUCGUGCUCUCACUCAUAACCAAACAUGGGAACUGGUUCCUAGACCACCUGCUACCAAUGUGGUUGGAUCCAAAUGGAUUUUUCGGAUUAAAUAUCAUUCUGAUGGCUCCAUUGACAGGUUCAAAGCACGCCUAGUUGCUCAAGGCUAUACUCAACUCUAUGGACUUGAUUUUCACGACACAUUCAGUCCAGUUGUUCGAGCUUCUACAGUCCGCAUUGUCCUCUCUAUUGCAGUAACUCGUGGCUGGAACAUACGUCAACUUGACGUUAAGAAUGCGUUCCUUCAUGGUCUUCUUCAGGAAGAGGUUUUUAUGGAACAACCACCCGGUUAUAUUGACACUUCUCAUCCACACCAUGUUUGUCGCCUAAAAAAAGCCAUCUAUGGUUUGAAACAGGCACCGAGAGCCUGGUUUCAUCGCUUUAGCAAUUUCUUACUCACAAUUGGUUUCAUUUGCAGCAAAGCCGAUUACAGCUUAUUUGUUCAUUCAUCAGAUAAUGGUAUUAUUUAUUUGCUGUUAUACGUAGAUGAUAUUGUUCUAACUGGAAGCAAUGUAUCUCUCAUUGAUACUUUCAUUCACAAGCUCCAGCAAGAGUUUUCUAUGAAGGACCUUGGAGAUCUACAUUAUUUUUUGGGUUUAGAAGUUACUCAAUCUCCACAGGGCAUGUUCCUAAGUCAGGUCAAGUAUGCAAGAGAUAUUCUUAUCAGGGCUGAACUUCAGGAUUCGAAGCCAAUAUCAACACCGAUGAUUGUUUCUCAUCACUUAACUUCUGAUGGUCCUCUAUUUCAUUCACCAACAAUCUAUCGAUCUCUUGUUGGUUCGCUGCAAUAUCUCACCAUCACCAGACCGGAUAUUACACAUGCAGUGAAUUCAGUAAGCCAAUUCAUGCAUGCACCACGAGAAUCACAUUUUCAGGCCGUCAAACGAAUUCUCAAAUAUGUUAAAGGCACUCUUCAUUUCGGUCUCAGCAUCAGUUCAUCCAGUCAUCUUCAUAUCUCAGCUUUUUCAAAUGCUGAUUGGGCUGGUUGUCCAGAAACCAGUCGCUCAACAUCAGGAUAUGCAAUUUUUAUGGGGGACAAUUUGAUUUCAUGGACCUCUAAAAAGCAGACCACGGUUUCUAGAUCUUCAGCAGAAUCCGAAUAUCGAGCAUUGGCACUCACUGCAGCUGAGGUUAAAUGGUUGCUAAACAUUCUUCAUGAUUUACGUAUUCAACUACCAGCAUAGCCAACUUUACUUUGUGACAACACCAGUGCUAUCUUCAUGACUAGAAAUCCAGUAGCUCAACGAAGAUCUAGACACAUUGAUAUUGAUGUUCACUUUGUUAGAGAAUUAGUCUGCAAUGGUAUCCUGACAAUUAAACAUGUGCCAUCCACUUUGCAAAUAGCAGACAUUUUCACCAAAAGUCCAUCCAAAUCUCUGUUUCUUCUGUUUCAAUCCAAGCUUCGCGUGUUCCCAACUACGCUUAACUUGAGGGGGGAUGUUGGUAAUAAUAGCACAUUACACUUUGGAGAUAAUCACGGCAGCAAUCAAUGAGAAAAUCACUCCAAGCAUCAAGGAUCAAUCCAUGGAUAGAUUUUGCAAUUUGUUCCACUUCUGUAGAGAGAGGUGUGUCAUGUCCAAGGAUCUCCCUGAACAAAGUCCAAGCUUCUCCAUCAGAAAGAGGAUUCACUAUGAUAUUGUUUCGGCAAUCCAUUCGUCCACAAACCUCUUUUGAUCGAGUUGUCAUAAUCAACUUGCAUCCUUUCAAUGGGACAGGAAUUCCCACUUCGUGUAGCUCAAAUGAGUCCCACAAAUCAUCUAAAAUUAGAAUCCAUUUUUGUUUCUUUAUUAGUUCUCGUGACAAUUCCUCAGCUAUGUGCAGCUCCUCCUCUUCAUUGGAAAGAGAUAAAUUUAUACAUUUUGCAAUCUUCUUCUGCAAUGUAUGAAUGCUGAAAUCUUGAGACACGGUCACCCAGCAAACAUGAUGAGAAAUAUCUGCAAUUCGUAGAAGCUCAUUAUGGAUAUGUUUCAGCAUUGUGGUUUUACCAGCUCCUCCCAUCCCGUAAAUGCCAAUGGUUGAGACUUCAUCGUCCCUUAACCAGGACCAUAUCACUUUCCUAUUCUCUUCAAAUGAUCGACCCACUAAAUGAAUUCAAAUUAAGGAAAAAUAAGAAAAAGAAUUGUUUAGGCUUAACCAAGAUAAAAACCUGAUUGACUAGCGACUUAAUAAUAAAAAAAAACAAUAUUCUAUGACAUUAAGUUUUGAACAAAUUAUUUAUACUUACAUUUUAUAAAUAUUAUAUUAGAAAGUUAACUGUCAUUAUUUAUUAUGAAGGUGCACUUGUAUUGCAUUGCUAGUUAUUGUUAUUACUAUAAAUAUAUAAAAAAAAAAUUUCUAAUUUCUAGAAGAAUUAUUAUCAUCACGUAUGAAUUGAACAAUCUUGUCUCAAUUUAAAUAGCUAAUAAUUUAGUUAUUUAAACACUACUAUAUAUUUUUUUAAUUUAAAAAAAAAUAGAAGAAAGUGAAAUUGGAAAUUUUGAUGAGAUUUUCGGGAAAAAAAUAUUAAAUUGAAGAUGGUCAACAUUGGUCAUUGGCCAAGCAUUAUUUAAUAAUUUCUUAUAUGAUAAGGACUAAUUAAUUAUGACAUCUACUUUAUAGAUUAAUAAAUUAAUCGUUACAAACUAUAAGGACUAAACAAUAAUUAUAAAAACUCAAACUUUGGGUGCUUUAUUUAUAUUGUCUCAAAUUCGUUACUGGGAUCAAUACGUGUCCUAAUAGAGUUUUCUUCACUGACCCGACCGAGUCACAAAUCAACACUCUGAGUCGCAAUACAUCCCGAUCUCCUCUCAGGCACCACUCUCUCAACCCAUUUACCACCAAAGCUUUACGCUUUAGGGUUCUACUUUGAGUUUCUGGACUGAGCAAGGUUUGAUCCAAUCCUGGACAGCGAUGGUGUUGAGGUUUAAUGAAGGAGGGAAAGUAUUGGAGAGAGUGGAUUCGAUAAGGAAGAUGAAAUGGCCAUGGUGAUUGGAUAUUUUGCCAUUUGCAAUUUUUUAUGCCAUUUGGAUGGUCGCGAUUCUGCCGAGCAUUGACAUUGUUGAUGCUUUAAUUGUUCUUGGUGGACUCGUUUCGAUUCAUGUUCUGGCUUCGCUUUUCACUGUUUGGUCUGUUGAUUUCAAGUGCUUUACUCAGUAUAGGAAGGUAAUGUAGCUGUUUUUCUGUGUUUGUUUUAGGAUUUUGGGGCUUUAGUUGUUUUUGUUUUGUGAUUCGGGGGUUUUGUGUUUAGGCUAAUGAUAUUUAUGCUGCGGAUUCGUGUAAGUUACACCGGUGAAGUUUUCUGGUUCUAAGGAAGUUGUGCCAUUGCAUAUUCGUCAACAAGUGUGUGUGUGUGUGUGUGUUUUUUUUUUUUUUAGUGGAAAUGCUUUUUUCCUUCUCUUUGUUAGUGGAUUGGAUUGAUAAUUGGAUGUUCUUAGUUGAUGUAGGAUAAAAACUGAUGCAUUUCAUGAAUUGUUUUUUCAGGAGAGUGACAAAUGAUGUUGAAUAUAGAAUGAUAGAAGAAUUGUAUGAUCAUGCUGGUGAUGGUAUUUGAGCUGCUAGGGAAAUGGAGCUUGUUCUAAGUGGAUUGGACCAGAGAUGGAUGGUUUUAGAGGUGGGGAGGAUGAAGAUUGGAUGUAGGCUAAAAAUGGAUGCAUUUUGUGUUAUUUGUAUUUGGAGAAGUGAAAAAUGUUGUUGGAGAUAGAAUUGAAUGCAUAUUCUGGUAACAAAUGCUCAAAUGGGCGAAAAUCAUUUUCUGAAAUUUCAAGGUGAGGAUUUUUAUUGAUUGGAUCUUUUGAUUUUUCUAAACUUUACGGGGGUGGAGGGUUUGUCUCCAUAGAUUGGUCGACUUAGUGUCUCAAGUUUGAAUUAAAACAGGGCAAUGUCCAAAUUCAAAAAAGCUAAAUUAAUGAACUUCUGUUAACCUUUGUUAUGCCAGGUUUAAUUACUGCCAUUAUCGUCAUUUUGCAAAUAAACUUGUUUCUAAGUUGCGAUGUGACUUUGCAAAUGAACACAGGAGAUUGAGUCAAGAAAAACAGAAACAAAACUACUUCGGACUAGCAAGGUUACAAACUACUUUGAAUCAUACAGAUCAAUUGUGAGUGGUUGUGGUUGCAGAUACAGAGAAAGGAAUUAAAAACAUAGUGGGGUCCCAAAACCACAAAGUGUAAAAGGACAUCCUUUGCAUUAGGAUUCUUUUACUCUUCAACCGACUCCCACCAUUCUUUUGGUUUUACAUGGAUUUUUUCAAGAGUAGAGGAGAUGGCUAGUCAUUGUCAAGCAGCUGAAGAAAAAUUAGAUGGCAAUGGUGAUGAAGCUCAACAAGACCAAGAAGAUGAAAGCAAGCUCUCCAUGCUAUCACAUUCCUAAUGUUUGUUGAUCAUGACAUCCAGUUCUGUUGCAUACUUCAAUGAUGAAACAUCGCAAAAACCUGAAAAUCUCCACUGCUGAUUCUGAAGUGAUUCAAACCCGAGUGCUUUACUUGUGUGAAAAUUUUGUGUUCAUUAUCUUAUAUUCAUAUUCGUUCCCAAUCGGGCAAAAUUUUGUAUAUGCCCAGUGCUUGAGAUUUGAGAAACGCUGCGAAGUCAGAGACUUGUUCAAAAUGGCAUUCCAAAGUUUCCGACUUCCUCGAGCAGCUGCUUCUGUUCAUUUGAUUAUAACUGGAGGAUGUAAUAAGAAUCCAGGACUAUCUAUCUUUCCUUUAUUUUUUCUCUUUUAUAUUUGUAUAUUCUACUUUGAAAAAUAAUUUAUUACUAGUCGGUGAUUUAAGGUGACUUGUACCACUGAAUAGAUCUAUUCUUUUAUUAGGUUACUUUAAUGGUAAUUAAUAUAAUGUUUUUUUAGAUGUUCAUGGUGGGAGAAAUUGAUAGGAUGGAUAUAUUAAUGUUUAAAUUUUAAUUACAAAAAAUAAUAAUUGAAGAGAUUAUUUGUGCUGAUUAUAUAUAAACUGGCAAUAUAAAUAAAGAACAUUUCAUUUGAACCAAUCUGGAUGUUUGAUGCAAAAACGAAUGAGAACCAAACAAAACAUUUUGCCACAAAAUCUUUAUCAGAAGAAAAAUGAUAUUAUUAGUAGUGAUUAUAUAUGCAUGAUAUUAGUUAAAAAAAUAAAAAUAUUUAACGAUUAGUAGUGAGUUAUGUAUACAUAAUAUUAGUUAAAAAAACAAAAAUAUAUAAACUUUAAAUAUUUUUAUUUUUUAACUAAUAUUAUAUAUAAUUAUUUAAAAAACAUUUUAAAAAAACAAUCUUUAUCUCACAAACAGGCUGCAUGUUGAUAGUGUCAAUCAAAUAAUUUAAGUUAUUGUAGUCCUUGCAUUUUAUUUCUAUUUAUAAAUUGGUUUUUAUUUGAAAGCUUUUUGGUCCUUGUACUUUAUAAAAUCAGAACUUAAGCCUUUAUAAUUUUGUCUUUUUUACAAUCAUGUCCUUGUAACAUUACUCUUCGUCAUAUAAUAGUUCAUUACAUGAUUUUCUAUAUAAUGCUUGAGAUGUAAUAAGUCAUUAUAUAAUCGUAAUGAUCUAUUACAUUAUAAUUUUAAAAAUCACAUCAUCAAACAUAAGAAUAUAAGAAGUCAUAAUUGUAUUAUAUAGUCCAUUAUGUGUAAUUAUCAAACGUGUAAUUAGUUUACCUAUUACAAACAAAACUCAAAGUAUAGGCAAUUUGGACAUUUACAAAACAAGAUCAACAGUCAAAUAACAUCUAAAAAACAAGGAUUAACUUAUAAAAUCUCAAGAAACCAGGGACUGAAUAACAUCUUGCAUCCAGAGUCGAGAGAGUAACCAAUGACAUCAUAUGGAUCCAUUCUAAAAAAAAAAAUAGAUACAAAGAGAACAGAAAUAAAAUACUAAUAAUCACUCCCUAAAAUUUGCCACCCUAUUCUAGGAAAAUGAUAUAACAUCCAAUAUUUAGACAAAUAGAAAGUGCCCAAAACCCAGGAUGCAUUUGUCAUCCACAGAAUGAAUAAAUUGAAAUGCACUAAUUCACAAUACUCUUUCGUGGGACGUUUUAAACAAAUAUGAUUGAUUGGAUUCAGAUGAGAUAAAUAUGAAAAUACCUAGAAUUAACAAAAUAAGGAAACUGAAAAUCAGGUCUUCAUUGUGAGGGAGGGAGAGGCAAAAUGCUUUCUUUCCAAUCUUUAUUAAAUAGAAAGAUCACCGAUUAGUAAUUUAAAGCCAUAAACUUUGAAGCCAAUAAAUGAUGAGAGAGUCAUUCAAUUCCACACCAAUAAAUUGAGAAUUUUCCUGUCUUGUAUACACACAACAAUUGAUUCUAAUUCAUUAAACCUAAAUUAAAAGCAAAUUGAAAGAUUCAGAAAGAACGAUGCUUACCGAACUUGUCCAAGCAUAUUACGAGAGGAAGAAGGACAUCCUUGGUGUUAGGAUGCUCCCACUCCACUACUGACUCCCACCAUUCUUCUGGAUAUACUAUAAUGUUUUUAAGAGAAGGUGGAGGAGAUGGCUGCCCAUUUUCAAGUAAUGGAAGAAAAAUUGGCAUCCUCUUCAGCUUCUCACAUUUUGUUAUAUUAAUUACUUCGAGAGAAUUGCAAAUCAGUUUUGCACUACAAAUGCAUUUUAGUUCUGGUAAAUUUUCCAAGUGCAGUUGUCUCAACUUUGGGAGUUUGAAUUUGGUGUUUCUGAUGCUGCUUUCUUCACCUAUAUCCCCUUUUUCAUCCGAUCUUGCUACACCUAUUAUCUCCUCCAUUUUCUCACAUCCUUUAACAACAAUCUCUUCUAGGUUUACAAGGUGAAUCCAAGAAGAUGGAACCAAGAUUUCUGUGAUACUGCAAUUCCUUACUUCAAUUACUUGGAGAGAAUCGCAAAUCAGUUUUGCACUACAAAUGCUUUUUAGUUCUGGUAAAUUUUCCAAGUGCAGUUGUCUCAACUUUGGGAGUUUGAAUUCGGUGUUUCUGAUGCUGCUUUCUUCACCCAUAUCCCCUUCUUCAUCCGAUCUUGCUCCACCUAUUAUCUCCUCCAUUUUCUCACAUCCUUUAACAACAAUCUCUUCUAGGUUUACAAGGCUUGGCAGCAAGACAUGAGGGAACAACUUCUUCAUACCCUUACAACCAGAAAAAUAAAACCUUUUAAGACCAGAAAAUAUACCAUUAUAAGAUGGAGAUGGCUGUGGUAGUGGGGCAGAGCAUAACCAAGAAGAUGAA